rnacentral:lncRNA from 1 species
UUUUUUUUGAGGUCGACUGGUCGACUUUGUCUUCAACAGGAUUAGUGGGGGCACGCUGAGUGCACCCACUGGGUGUAGUCCCCGAGACUACGGUCGAAUGCUUGUAUUCGGCUGUAGUCUUAGAAACGUGUGUUUUUCCCUUUUUCACUCGGAAGUGAAUUAUAUUUGACAUUUAGUCGAUUGGUUCUUCGCAGAACUCUUGUGAUCUUGUGGCUCGCUACUCAGAGCUGGAACACAAGCAUACUCAAGUCGAGCUGAGCUUGAAGCUAGUUCAGGAGAAGCUGUCAAAGGCAAAGGAGGAGACCGAAGGUAUGUUUGGUGAGACCCUGACGACUGCUUUUCCCUUUGCUUGUUUCAAAAUCUGAUCUUGCUGUAACUUGUAGGUAAGGUAAGGGAGGCCCAGCAGAAGAAAGACCUUGAGCUAGCUGAGAAGAUCAAGCUUGCCGACGAGAAGUUAGCUUCAGUCACCAAGCUUGAACAAGACAAUACCAAUCUGAAAGCUGCUCUUGGGAUUGCCAACAAGGAGGUCAGUCGACUGAAAACUGAUAAAGCUGCACUGACCGACCAAGUCAGCAAAUUGACUGGGAAGAAAACUGAUCUGGAGGCCUUCCUGAGUGGACUUGGCAAGAAGCUGUUUCUUAUGCUUGAAGGUAAACCUCUAUGCUUGGCAAAUAUUUCCAAUUAUGGCUUUUUCCAUUCGACUAUCUCCUUGACUUAGUGAUCACCCUUGCAGAAUUUUGUCAAAACUUUGAAGAAGAAACCAGCCGACUGGAGCCAAACCUUGACCCCGUCAAUUCUCCGGUGAACGACGAAGUUGCCAUGGAUGUUUUCCGACUGGAGUCUCGUGUUGCAGCUGUCAUGGACUAUCUCGCAAGGCUGAAGGCCGCCACAUCUCGCAUCGACUCGACGCUCUGGCCUGAGGAGACACUUCAGAAUGACCUUGAGUCGCUGAUGGCCCGCUUGAACACGAUCCCUGGUCGAGUGCAGGAGUGGAAGAAGUCCUCGGCUCGGUGUGGUGCAGAUGUCGCUCUGUGUCUGGCCCGAGUCCACUGCAAAGAUGCGCGAGAAGAGAAGCUGGCGGCCCUUCGGGUGGCCAAUACCAAGAAGCACGACUUCAGAUCCUUUAUGGAAACUUUCCUUGCAGCUGCCACUCGGAUCGCCGACGGGAUUGACCUUGAUGAAUUUGUUGCACCUUCCAGCCCUCCACAGGAGGGGUAAAAAACUUCUUCUGGCUCGACGCUUUAAAUUUGCCUCGGUAUGCCGAGUGAAAUUGUAACCGACAAACCUUAACAGGCUUGACGCCUGAGCACUUUCGGUUCCUUUAGAUGUCGAUUCAAACUUGGAUUUGGUGCUUGAAUACGAUUGCCUUCGGCUCGGAAUGUCUUUUGCAGGUUCAAAGCAAGGUGCCUGUGCUUAGGCGAGCGCUUGGAAUGCAGCUAAGCCUCCGAGUGAGAGGGUUGCUCUUCACUCGGUAGGAUUUGUGUAACUUAGGCGAGCACAGGGCUGCAGCUAAGCCCCCGAGUGAGAGGGUUGCUCUUCACUCGGUAGGAUUUUCACAACUUAGGCGAGUGCUUGGACUGCAGCUAAGCCCCCGAGCGAGAGGGUUGCUCUUCACUCGGUAGGAUUUUUAUAACUUAGGCGAGCACGAGGCUGCAGCUAAGCCUCCGAGUGGAAGGCUGGCUUACCACUCGGUAGGAUUUUGAUAACUUAGNNNNNNNNNNNNNNNNNNNNNNNNNNNNNNNNNNNNNNNNNNNNNNNNNNNNNNNNNNNNNNNNNNNNNNNNNNNNNNNNNNNNNNNNNNNNNNNNNNNNNNNNNNNNNNNNNNNNNNNNNNNNNNNNNNNNNNNNNNNNNNNNNNNNNNNNNNNNNNNNNNNNNNNNNNNNNNNNNNNNNNNNNNNNNNNNNNNNNNNNNNNNNNNNNNNNNNNNNNNNNNNNNNNNNNNNNNNNNNNNNNNNNNNNNNNNNNNNNNNNNNNNNNNNNNNNNNNNNNNNNNNNNNNNNNNNNNNNNNNNNNNNNNNNNNNNNNNNNNNNNNNNNNNNNNNNNNNNNNNNNNNNNNNNNNNNNNNNNNNNNNNNNNNNNNNNNNNNNNNNNNNNNNNNNNNNNNNNNNNNNNNNNNNNNNNNNNNNNNNNNNNNNNNNNNNNNNNNNNNNNNNNNNNNNNNNNNNNNNNNNNNNNNNNNNNNNNNNNNNNNNNNNNNNNNNNNNNNNNNNNNNNNNNNNNNNNNNNNNNNNNNNNNNNNNNNNNNNNNNNNNNNNNNNNNNNNNNNNNNNNNNNNNNNNNNNNNNNNNNNNNNNNNNNNNNNNNNNNNNNNNNNNNNNNNNNNNNNNNNNNNNNNNNNNNNNNNNNNNNNNNNNNNNNNNNNNNNNNNNNNNNNNNNNNNNNNNNNNNNNNNNNNNNNNNNNNNNNNNNNNNNNNNNNNNNNNNNNNNNNNNNNNNNNNNNNNNNNNNNNNNNNNNNNNNNNNNNNNNNNNNNNNNNNNNNNNNNNNNNNNNNNNNNNNNNNNNNNNNNNNNNNNNNNNNNNNNNNNNNNNNNNNNNNNNNNNNNNNNNNNNNNNNNNNNNNNNNNNNNNNNNNNNNNNNNNNNNNNNNNNNNNNNNNNNNNNNNNNNNNNNNNNNNNNNNNNNNNNNGCAGCUAAGCCUCCGAGUGAGAGGAUUGCUCUUCACUCGGCAGGAUUUUGAUAACUUAGGCGAGCACAAGGCUGCAGCUAAGCCUCCGAGUGGAAGGCUGGCUUACCACUCGGUAGGAUUUUGAUAACUUAGGCGAAACGGAUUCGCAGCUAAGCCUCCGAGUGGGAGUCUGGCUCACCACUCGGUAGGAUUUUUACAAACUUAGGCGAAACGGAUUCGCAACUAAGUCACCCACUGAGGGGAAUUUUAUUGGAAAAUAAAAAGUGACAGAUAGUGUGGAGGAACUAUGACACUAUUAUUUUGAGGUCCAUGAACUACAAAAGUACUUUAUUGCAACUCAUCCGAGUGAUAAAACUUAAGUGUAAAAUGGGCGGAGUAGCUCCGCGUUCCAAGCUCGGGGCUCGUCGAUAUUAUGCUCGACGUUGUAAAGACGGUACGCCCCGUUGUGGAGAACCUUGGUGACGAUGAAGGGGCCUUCCCAAGAAGGAGCAAGCUUGUGUGGUUUGUGUUGAUCCACUCGGAGAACCAAAUCCCCUUCCUGGAAGGCUCGACCUCUCACAUUUUGGGCGUGGAAACGGCGCAGAGCUUGUUGGUAGAUGGUCGAUCGGAUCAGAGCCAUCUCCCUUUCUUCCUCUAAAAGGUCGACUGCGUCCUGCCGCGCUUGUUCAGCUUCUGCUUCGUUGUAGAUUUCAACUCGAGGAGCAUUGUGGAGAAGAUCACUCGGCAAGACUGCUUCAGCUCCAUAGACCAAGAAGAAUGGAGUUCUUCCGGUCGACCGAUUAGGCGUGGUCCGCAGUCCCCAGAGUACAGAUGGGAGUUCGUCGACCCAAGCUCCAGCCGCGUGUUUGAGAUCACGCAUCAGUCGAGGCUUCAGUCCCUUGAGAAUCAGUCCAUUAGCUCGCUCUGCUUGUCCAUUCGACUGCGGAUGGGCGACUGAUGCGUAGUCGACCCGUGUGCCCUGGGAGUCGCAGAAAGCUCUGAAUUCCUCUGAGUCAAAGUUCGACCCAUUAUCCGUAAUGAUGCUGUGCGGGACUCCAUAUCUGAAUAUUAGUUCCCUGAUGAAGCUAACAGCAGUACCGGUGUCAAGGCUCUUGAUUGGUUUAGCCUCGAUCCACUUGGUGAACUUGUCGACUGCCACCAGUACAUGCGUGAAGCCACUUCGUCCUGUUCUCAAAGGACCGAUCAUGUCCAGCCCCCAAACUGCAAAAGGCCAGACGAGUGGGAUGGUCUUCAAAGCUGACGCAGGCUUGUGCGACAUAUUCGAGUAGAACUGACAUCCCUCGCACUUAUCUACUAUCUCUUUUGCCAUCUCAUUCGCCUUGGGCCAGUAAAAUCCGGCUCGGUAUGCUUUGGCCACGAUGGUCCGAGAGGACGCAUGAUGACCACAGGUUCCCGAGUGAAUAUCAUUGAGGAUGAGUCGACCUUCUUCUGGUGUUAUGCACUUCUGACCGACUCCAGUCGCGCUUUCUCUGUAUAAUUGUCCUUUGAUUACGGUAAAGGCCUUAGAUCGAUGGACGAUCUGUCGAGCCUCUUCUUCAUCCUCCGGAAGCUCUUUCCUCAAGAUAUAUGCGACAUACGGAAUCGUCCAGUCGGGAAUGACCACCAAAACCUCCAUGAUCAAGUCGACCACCGCUGGGACUUCAACUUCAGUCGGAUCUGUGGCGCUCUUGGGCUGCGGAGUUUCUUCGGUGAAAGGAUCCUCUUUGACUGACGGAGUGUGUAUAUGCUCCAAGAACACACCACUCGGAAUGGCUUCUCUCUUGGAACCUAUCUUUGCUAGAUCAUCAGCUGCUUGAUUUUUCAGUCGGGGUAUAUGAUGGAGCUCCAACCCCUCGAACUUCUUCUCCAGCUUCCUCACUGCACUGCAGUAUCCAGUCAUGGCUGGGCUUCUCACGUCCCACUCUUUCAUCACCUGAUUGACCACUAAAUCCGAGUCGCCAUAGACCAUUAGGCGACGGACGCCGAGUGAAAUGGCCAUGCGCAACCCAUAUAGGAGGGCCUCAUAUUCUGCCUCAUUGUUGGAGGAAUCAAAGUGAAUCUGGAGCACAUAUCUGAGCUUAUCUCCUCUGGGGGAAACCAGGACAACCCCAGCACCGGAACCAUUCAACAUUUUAGAGCCAUCGAAAAACAUGGUCCAAUGCUCCGAGUGAACUUCAGUCGGCUGCUAUUGUUCAAUCCACUCGGCGAGGAAAUCUGCUAUCGCCUGGGACUUAAUGGCUUUCUUUGCCUCAAACUUGAUAUCAAGGGGAAGAAGUUCAAUCGCCCAUUUGGCCACUCGACCAGUUGCAUCUCUGUUGUGCAAAAUCUCUGAUAGUGGAGCGUCGCUGACGACUGUGAUGGAAUGGUCAGAGAAAUAAUGAGCAACCUUCUUUGUGGUCAUGUAUAUUCCAUACACAAGCUUCUGAUAAUGAGGAUAUCUCUGCUUGGAUGGAGUCAAGACUUCAGACAAAUAAUACACUGGGCGCUGAACUUUGAGAGCUUUUCCUUCUUCUUCCCGCUCGACCGUUAGAACAGUACUGACGACUUGUCCUGUGGCUGCGAUGUAGAGCAACAGAGGCUCUUUGCUGAUUGGAGCAGCAAGCACCGGCUGGGUGGAGAGCAGAGCUUUUAGCUCGGCAAACGCUGCAUCAGCUUCUGGAGUCCACUCGAACUUGUCAGCCUUCUUCAUCAGUCGGUAAAGAGGCAGUGCCUUUUCACCGAGUCGUGAGAUGAAUCGACUUAAUGCGGCCAAGCAUCCAGUAAGCUUCUGGACAUCGUGCACUCGCACAGGGCGUUUCAUUCGGAGAAUAGUGCCAAUCUUCUUUGGGUUAGCGUCGAUUCCCCGCUCGGAAACGAGAAAACCGAGUAACUUGCCACCAGGAACUCCAAAUGUGCACUUUGAUGGAUUGAGCUUGAUAUCAUACCUUCUGAGGUUGGCAAAUGUUUCGGCGAGGUCAGCGAGCAGGUCGGAACCUUUUCGUGACUUGACAACAAUAUCAUCCAUAUAAGCUUCCACAUUCCGACUGAUUUGGGUGAGUAGACACUUCUGAAUCAUUCGCAUAAAUGUGGCUCCGGCAUUCUUGAGGCCGAAUGGCAUGGUGAUAUAGCAGAAGCACCCGAAUGGAGUGAUGAAAGCUGUUUUUACCUCAUCGGGCCCGUACAGACGGAUCUGGUGGUACCCGGAGUAAGCAUCUAAAAAAGACAACCUCUCGCAUCCCGCGGUCGAGUCAACAAUUUGAUCUAUGCGAGGGAGAGGAAAGUGAUCUUUCGGGCAGGCCCGGUUGAUGUGCUUGAAAUCAAUGCACAUUCGGAGCGACUUGUCCUUCUUAGGAACCAUGACGACAUUAGCGAGCCACUCGGAGUGGUAUAUCUCUCGGAUAAAUCCUGCCGCCAACAGUCGAGCCACUUCUUCACCGAUGGCCUUUCUCUUCUGGACGGCGGACCGCCGAAGAUGCUCUUUGACUGGUUUUGCAGACGAGUCGACUCUUAGGCGAUGCUCAGCCAGCCCCCUGGGAACACCUGGCAUGUCAGCGGGCUUCCAUGCAAAAAUGUCCCAGUUCUCACGGAGGAACUGGAUGAGCGCUUCUUCCUAUUUUGGGUCGAGUGUUGUGGAGAUGCGGGUCGGAGCUGCUUCGGGGUCGGUCGGGUGAAUGUGAACAGGCUUCGUCUCAUCGGACGACUGGAAUGGAGACUCUGUGGCGGGCUUCUUGGAUCGCAGCAAGUCACUCGGAUCUGCGUUUUGCUUGUAUUCUUCGAACUCGACCGCCGUCACUUGGGAAUCGGCAAUCUUGGAGCCCUUCUGAAAGCACUCCUCUGCCUUUUUCCUAUCACCGGUGACAGUGAUCACACCUUUGGGACCGGGCAUCUUCAAUUUGAGGUACACGUAACAUGGUCGAGCCAUGAACCGUGCAUAGGCUGGUCUCCCCAAAAUGGCAUGAUAUGCACUUUGAAAAUCCACGACCUCAAACGUCAACUUUUCUUUGCGAAAAUGCUUCGAGUCACCAAACACUACGUCCAAAGCUAUCUGGCCGAGUGACUCGGCCUUCUUCCCUGGUAUGACUCCAUGGAAGCUCAUGUUACUAGUGCUCAGUCGGGACAUCGGAAUGCCCAUACCUUUCAAUGUGUCUGCAUACAAUAAAUUCAGCCCACUUCCACCAUCCAUCAGCACCUUUGUCAGUCGAGUGCCUUCGACAACUGGAUCGACCACCAAAGCUUGCCUCCCGGGGGUGGCAAUAUGAGUCGGGUGAUCAGAUUGGUCGAAUGUGAUGGGUGUUUGAGACCACUUCAGAUAAUUUGCCUUUGCUGGGGCAACCAUGUUCACCUCUCGGUUAAUCACUUUCAGUCGACUUCUGCUUUCCACAUCUGCAAAGAUCAUCAGAGUGGAGUUGAUAUGCGGAUAUCCUCCCUCACUGUCCUCUUUGUCUUCGGCCUUGUCCGACUCCUUCUCCUUGUCCUUAGACUGUUUUCCCUGAAACUGCUGGAUCAGGAGUCGACAUUGGCGAGUGGUGUGCUUUGGGUAAAUGAUAUUCCCCUCUUCAUCUUUCUUCGUGUGAAUGUGACACGGCAUAUCCAUCACGUCGUUCCCUUCUUUAUCCUUUACCUUCUUGGGGUUCCAGGAUCCUUUUGGUUUCCCCUUAAACUUUCCUUGAAUCACGGCCAGAGCCUCUCCAGGAGCUGCCGGUUCAGCCUUCCGCUUCUGUUUCCGACUGGUGUUUCCUUUUUCCGACUGACUCGGCUUGUGCUUGCCGCUUCGGAGUCGGUCUUCUUCUUCGCCGUUGGCGUACUUGGUAGCAAUCUCCAUCAUCCGACUCAAGGUCAUGUCACCGGUUCGACCAAAUUUCAGACUCAGUUCUCUGUUCUUGACGCCGUCUUUGAAGGCGCAUACUGCCUGAUGAUCAGAGACAUUUUCCACAGUGUGGUGUAAAGUGAUCCACCUCUGAAUAUACUCUCUGAGAGUCUCAUUAGUUUUCUGCACGCAGACUUGCAACUCUGUCAAUCCCGCUGGUCGCUUGCAAGUCCCUUCAAACGUUCUGACGAACACUCGGGACAGAUCUUCCCAAGUGUAAAUGCUGCUAGGAGGUAAUUGAGUCAACCAUGCCCUGGCAGAACCUUCCAACAUGAGGGGCAAAUGCUUCAUGGCCACCUCGUCGUUCCCACCACCGAUCUGAACUGCCACUCGGUAGUCUUCAAGCCAAGUUUCAGGCUUAGACUCACCAGUGAACUUGCUGACUCCUGUUGCCAACCUGAAAUUGGGGGGGAUAACUGCGGCUCUGAUAGCUCUGCUGAAACAUUCAGGACCAGAAACAUGUACUCGACUGCUCGUGGGUACAUCUCUGUCGAGUGCGCCUCGAUGGGCUCUGUUCCGGUCGACCAACCCUUGCACGAUAAUGGACCGCGCGUCGAAGCCUGGCUCUCUGGGGUCAACUGGAACCCUACGCCCUGUACUGUACUGACGCCUAUCAUCUGGCUGCCGAGGAGCGUAAGACCCACCCCUCGGAGGGGAAUAGGGCACUCGACGCCUAUCAUCUCGGUCGAGUCUGUCGCCAUAUUGAUCUCGCCGAUUCUCACGCCCUUCGCGCCGCGGAGGCGAUCUGGGGCUGUGAGCCGACUGAACCGUAUUCACAGUGACAGAUCGACUGUGAAUUCUGUUGCGCGACUGAGACACGGCUGAAUUCUGAUCUCCUGCUGCCCGGAGCAGAUCCCUGAUCUGCAGCAAACCUCUGCCAGCUUCCGACUGCGAAGGCUGAAUGGACUCUGCUAUACGGGUCGCAGCUGCUAAAUUCUGAAUUGGGGUUCGAUAUACCUGAGUCGGCGGGAAGAGUUGACGUCGACUGGUGUCGGGAACUCGUUGCCGCGCGCGCUCGUCGAGUGCUCGUUGAAGGUUCUCCAGUCGAGUGCGCUCAGCCAAAUUGGCCAGACGCGCCUCUUCCAAGGCACGAGCCUCGGGGGUUUCUCCUGCGAUGGGAAUACGCAGGGGAUCCUCGUUCCUGCGGCGAAGCUCUUCUCUUUGCAGAGAGUCGAGUGGCUCGGGCUGGUACUCUUCGUAGUCUCGUGCAGGGUCGCCGCCGUCACCUGCUCCACCACCUCGGGCGAAGCCAGGAGGGCUGUGGGGCCCGUCGACCAUCAAGAUUUCCGCCGCUGGAUCACUGCUUCCGCACUCGGAUGCGGUCUCUCCGGAGCCAGUCGACUGAUCGAACAAGCCGUAGAGAGAUUCGUUGGGCUCGAUUGCCGCAACUUGUGUAGUGGCCGAUUGGCGAGCCACCGCGUGACUCACCCAUCGCUGAAGCCUCGACCGGCCUGAGCGCUUGCGCUGGCGGGAGACCGGGAGGGUGGACGAUGGAGGAGCCGACCGAUACUGGGUCGACGGUUGCCGCAGCAGAACGCCGCGGACACAUGCGCGAAAAUGCGUCGCACCGCGGACGGGGAGCGCGUCUACGUCGAGUGGAGCCUCCUGGAGCCAUGCGGAGUCGUCGGCGAUGAAGGUGAGAGUGCCGAGACGGAUCUCUUGACCCUUGACCAAAACUCCAGCAGACACCAUGAUGAGAGUACUCGGAAGAAUCGCAACUUCUCCACAAAAUCGCUAAAACACCUGCCCCACGGUGGGCGCCAACUGUCGUGGUUCUAAGCCUGACAGUAGAGUGGGGGGUAGGUAUGGAGAGGCAAGGUCCUAGCUAUGGAGAGGUUGUAAGCACCAAGGAUGUACGAGUUCAGGCCCUUCUCGGAAGAAGUAACAGCCCUACGUCUCGGAGCCCGGAGGCGGUCGAGUGGAUUAUGAAUGUAUGAAUUACAAGGUGCCGAACCCCUCUGCCUGUGGAGGAGGGUGGCUUAUAUAGAGUGCGCCAGGACCCUAGCCAGCCCACGCAGGAGAGGGUUUAAGGUGAGUUAAGUCUGGGGCGUUACUGGUAACGCCCCACAUAAAGUGCCUUUACUAUCAUAAAGUCUACUUGAUUACAGGCCGUUGCAGUGCAGAGUGCCUCUUGACCUCCUGGUGGUCGAGUGAGUCUUCGUGGUCGAGUCCUUCAGGCCAGUCGAGUGAAUCCUCGUUGGUCGACUGGAAGGCGACCUCUUCUAAGGAUGUCCUAGGGUAAGUUACUUGGAUCAGGUCCAUGAUCCUACCCUAGGUACACAACCCCAUCACUAACCAUGUCAUUAACCCCAACAAGACCCUAAAUGAUAUUUCUUACUACCCAAACAAUGCUAGUGACAAAAUACAUUGUCAAAGCACAAACAUUACCCUAAAUGCAUCAUAUACAUUGAUUUCACCACAACAAAACCAUGAACUAGUGAUUCCAACAAAAUGAGCAAAAUGCAUGAUUUGAACCAACCAAAUGAAGGGGGGAUGGGGGAGGUCCUUGGGUGAUGCAAAUGGCCUCGAUCCACCGGACAAAUCUCAAGCAAUGGAGGGAGAUCUAGUGGGUNNNNNNNNNNNNNNNNNNNNNNNNNNNNNNNNNNNNNNNNNNNNNNNNNNNNNNNNNNNNNNNNNNNNNNNNNNNNNNNNNNNNNNNNNNNNNNNNNNNNNNNNNNNGAGAGAGUGAGAGCUCGAAAGAAGAGUGGGGUAAAUGAGUGGGUGGGGGAGCAGCACAGCCCCCUCCUUCAAAACCUUAUCCAGGAACCUACCGCCGGAGAGUCUGGCGGUAGGUUGCAACAGCCUACCGCCAUAGACGGAGGCGGUAGGUCCUUUGCCACGUAUACACGGCCGUUAACGGCCAGACGGCGUCAGGGAACCUACCGCCAUGAGGGGCGGCGGUAGCCUGCACACAUCUACUGUCGGGGUCUCCGGCGGUAGCAAAAGGGUCAGAUCUCGAAAUUUUUCCAUAACGGGGUCAGAUCUCGAUUUUAGAUGUGAAAAGGGUCAAAACACGAAAUUUGGCCGGCCCUGCUCGAGGAAAACCUUCUUGCUCGCUUUCUAGAACGUACCUGCAAUGUGCUUGCGUUGUUGUCCUUGUGAGCUCUUUGACUAGGGUGACAUCUUUCGGUGUCCUCAGUCCUUCCUCUUCCGAUGGGGAGUUAAUUGCACAGAAGUAUCACAAUUGGGGCAUCACAUGUACUCCCUCCGUUCUGAUUUACUCGUCGUGGUUUUAGUCCGUUCUGAUUUACUCGUCGUGGUUUUAGUUUAAAUUACGAUUAAAUCGGUGAACUAAAACCACGACGAGUAAAUCGGAACGGAAGGAGUAGAUUGGUACCAUGAUUGUUAAUUUUUGAGUGUUGUUAGACUUGUAGUUAUACGUCAAUACGUAUUAUAACUUGUAUACAACUGUACUUGUAUCCAGAGUGGUUUCUCUCCAUAUAUAUAUAUAUUGUCGUGGCCGAACCUUGUGGUGUGGAAGCCCACAAUACCCCAAAACCUCUUGCGUAACAUGGUAUCAGAUACGAUCGUUAACUCGAUCCUGCCCUAAUCGCUACGCAGCCGCCGCCCGACCUAGUCGCUACGCCACCGCCGCCCAUGUCGUCUUCCGCUGCUGACUCCUUGGCGGCCGCCGCCGCUGCCCUCUCCGACGCGGCCACCCUUGCUACUCUCACCGGCGCAGCCACCUCGUCUGCUGCCGCCACGGAGCUCUCCACCCUGCCCUCGCUCGCUGAUCCCAUCGGAUCGCGUGCGCCCGUCCUUGGUCCGCCGGCUUCUGUGUCAUCGUUCCUGGCUACUCUCCUCCAAGGAGGACCUACGUCUACCCCGCUGAUGACCAGAUCGACGGGUGCUCUGUUUUCCAGGUCUACUUCUUCGGCCCCUCUCGGAUCGCCGGUGUUGCACCAUAACUAUGGCACGCUGGCGCCCUACGCACCGUCACCGUACACGCAUGAUCCUGCUGCCUACGGUGCUCCUUACGGCGCCCCCUACGGCAUGUCCUACGGCGCCCCCUACGGCACUCACUAUGGCACUGGACAUGGCGCCCCUCAUGGUGCUGGCUAUGGUGCUCCGUACGGCUCCGGCUACCAGGCGUUCCUGAGGCCUGCUCCUUAUGGCGCGUCGCUGUCUCCUCCACCACCGGUUCCUCCGGCUGCAAUGCAGUCCUCGCCCGAUGUCGCCUCUUCUGGUGCUACUACUGUACCACCCUACGACUUUGCCCUCGACGUCAUCAUAACUCCGCCAUUCUACUUCAGCAACCUUCUCCAGGUAAAACUGAAGAUGGACAACUAUUUGUUCUGGUGUGCGCAGAUUCUUCCCCUCCUUCGCAGUCAUUAUCUGGAGGGUUUUGUGGAUGGAACUUUGUCGUGUCCUUCGCCAGAUCAUCAUAUGUACCGACCAUGGAUUGCUCAAGAUCAAGCGAUUCUCUUGGCGAUACAGUCCUCUCUCACCGAGGGCGUUGCCGCCUUGGUACUUUUUGCUACUACAUCACAUGAGGUAUGGAGUGCGCUGGAGUCUAGCUUCUCCGCGCAGUCAUCAUCUCAGCAUAUGGCUCUUCGUACCCAGCUUAAUGAGACUCACAAGGAUCAUCACUCCGUCACCGUCUUCUUCAACAAAAUCAAGCGCCUUGCUGAUCAGCUUGCCUCCAUUGGCGAGCCCCUUCGUGACACGGAGUUUACUACAUAUAUUCUCCAAGGUCUCGAAGACCACGGCAACAGGUGUGAAUACCAGAUGUUUCUCACCAGAUUUGAAUUUGGAGGAAGGACUAGGUGCAGAUUUUUUAUUUCGAGUUUCAAGGUACGAACACUGUGGCUGAAACGUGUCAAAGUCAACGCAAAGACUCUGCCCACACUGCUCAGCUCAGAUGCUGACUGAUAACAUGCUCAAAAAAAUGAUGCUGAUUAAUGAUAGCUGUGUUUUCUGGUUAGUGAUGGCAGUGGACGUGCUGGUCUUUGCUUACCCAAGAAAAACUCGAUGUCGGCUCGCUCUUGCUAUCAACUUUUUUUUCUUUCUUUCUGUCAACUAAAAUUGCUUGUGAUUUAGUCCGUAUAUUGUAAUGGCAUCAGUCUAAUCGCCUGUGUGUGAGAUGGUAUUCUAGUCUCUUGUCCGGCGCCCAUUUUCAUCACGCAUUGCGACAGAAUUUUCUUGGUAAUAACUGUCGUGACAAUACAAUAUUUCCUUUGGAAGCAACGGAAAGUAAAUAAUUUGCAUUCACCAUUUCCUCCUGCAAAUUGAGCCGCCUCACGUGCGCAAGCGCGCAAUGCUGCAGCAUCCUCUGCACUCCGCAAGAACAUGAAUCCUAACAAGCAGCCGUCGAAAAACGAGACGCGCUAAGCUAAAGACGGCAUCCGUGGCGGCAUCGGCGGGCAUUCCGGCCGUGGCAGCCCCGGCAGCGGCGGCCCGAGCCCUCCGCGGCAGAGCGGGCACGUCCCGCGCUUCCGGAGCCAGCGGUCGACGUCGCAGCUCGCGUGGUAGAAGUGCCCGCAGGCCGGCACCACCCGCACCAGCUCGCCGGCCUCGCCCUCGCCGUACUCCGACAGGCAGAUGGCGCACCGCUCCUCCUCUCCCUCCUCCUUCUCCUUUUUCCUGGCCACCGCCUGCUCGUAUGUCAUGAGCGUGUCGUCGCCGAGAGCGGCCUCGACGUCGGCGUCGUGCACCGCGGCGCUCCCGGUGGCGCCGGCCGCGUCGUCGCAGGCUCCGCCGGAGGCGAUGACGGCCACGGCGACGAUGAUCACUGCCAUCAGGACCACCGCGGCGAUCUCCAGGUGGAGCACGAGUUCCGGGUCCAUGCUGCCAAUGCCAGCGAACUACCGCUCCAGUCCAGCCUUUGUAUAGGAGUGUUAGAGAUAUAUUUGGGUUACAUGUAUUUGGUAGUUUAGGAUUCCUACCUUAUCUCUAGGAGAGGCGUCUUGCCCUCCAAGUCUUGUACUCAAUAUAUACUCGCCCUCGAGGCUCGAUAAUACAUCCAUCAUAUUCCUCAACAAUCCCUCUCUCUCCCUUCUAACAUGGUAUCAGAGCAAGUCGAUCCUAAACCCUAGCCGCCGUCGCUUCCGCACCUGCGCGCCGCCCCCGGGGCGGUCGGCCUCCAUGACCGCCGCCGGGGGCCGCGCUGCCCGUACCUAGGGUUCGUCCGCCGGCCGUGUUGGUCGGCUGCCCUAGAGAGUCUUUUUCCCGAUCCUUUGAUCCGGAUUUUCUCUCUCUCGCCGGUCGCUUUGAUCGGCGUCUACUUUUUGGUUUUCCGGUCUAUGUGAUCCGGUUUGCGUCGCCCACCGCCGCGUCGACCUCGUGCGCCUCUACUCCAACAUCGGCGCGAUUGGCCAGCUUCUUCACCGACCCGGCGGCCUCGCGCGUCGUCCGCGCGUCGGCCCGCCGGUCGCCCCGACCGGCGGCCACGCGUCAUGUGGCGGCCCUUCACCGCCAUCGUUCGCGCGACGGCCCGCCCGUCGAUCUACGCCGGCCGUCACCGCCUGCUCCGACCGGGACUCCUGCAUCACCCCGACCCGGCGGCCUCGCGCCAUGCGGCGGCCAAUCAUAGCCGCCCUGCCGCCCGCCGCCGCCGGCUUCAUCUCGGACUCCGCCGCCACCACGCCUUCACCGAGCGGUGUCCCCGACCUCGCGCGCGAUCGGCUUGAUCACCCGCUCGCCGCCGCUAUCAGCCUCAUCUACGCCGCGCGACCGACCUGGCCCGUCGGUUACGCGCGCCUUCGCAGGUCCCGUGAAGAUCGUCCCCGAGUUCAGCGCGCCCCUCCAUCGAUCGAGCAACGGGCUGCCGCUGCGUCGCCCCGUCGGGCCGCAGCGCCGCCGCCCCGUGGUUCUCCUCCCGGCUGCACCGACCCGCGUCACCGCUGCGUCGCCCCUUCGGGCCGUAGUGCCGCGGCCCGCGGUCUACCGCCGCCCCGAGGUCGUCCACUCCAGGCCGUCCCCGUGGCUGCACCGACCCUCGCGCCGCCGCUGCGUCGCCCCGUCGGGCCGUAGCGAGCGUGGCACGCGGUCCACGCAGCCGUCUCGAGGCCGUCCACGCGGUUGCACCACCCCGCGCUCCGCUGCUGUGCCGCCCCUUCGGGCUAUAGCACCGCGGCCCGCGGUCCCUGCGACCGUCCCGACGUCUUCCGUCGUCACCCCGACCUGCCCGCCGCUGCCGCGUCGCCCCUUCGGGCCGUAGCGCCGCGGCCCGCGGUCCACCGCCGUCACCGCGUGUCGACCUCCCGUGGUAUGCGCCGCGCCGUCUCCCUUGGCGCGGGAACGCCACCGUCCACGCCGGUCUUCGUCAUGCUGUCAGGGUUCUUCGCCUACGUCGAGCACCGCCGCCGCACUCCUAACCUAGCCGCCGCCGCCGCCUUCAAGCCGCCGCUGCCGCUCUUCUUUGGCCGCCGCCGCCGCUACCUUUGUAGCCGCCGCCGCCGCCCGUCCACCCCCUUCGUCUUCGUCCAGCACCAGUUCGUCGCCAGCGUCACCGUCAUCUACCCCGACCGCUUCAUCUACUCCGACAACCGCGGGCGACAUUGGCCCCGCGCCGAUUGGCGCCGCAACCGUCGUCGAGUCCUUCUCUGCUGGCCUCUCCGACUUCUCCGACAUGGCGUACAGCUCGUGCAGGUCCCUCAUCUACGCAUGCCCGGUGCUGGCAACACCGAUGCGUGCCUUCAUCCACGACGUGUCCCCGGGCCUGGCAAGCCUGGUCGGCGCUUCGUCAACUUCGUCUUCGUCCGUCUACGCAUGCCCGGUGCUGGCAACACCGGUGCGUGCCUUCGUCCACUAUGUGUCCCCGGGCUUGGCAAACCCGUCGCGACGCGUCGUCAACAACAUCUUCUUCCCGGCGCACCACUACUUCGACACCCUUGCGCCCAUGCUAACUCGGCGCCCCCUUGCGCCCACGGCUCCACGGCGACUUCCUCGACACCGGCCACCCCGACUCGACAUCGACCACGGCAUUCUUCGCACGGCUACCUCGACCACGGCUACACCACCCUACGCUCUCGGCUACAUCGACAUCGGCACAAAGGGUUAUCAUCCGCUUGAGCAUCUCGUCGGCUUCCUCUACAGUCAACGCGUCCGCGACGCGACACCGUCCACGACGCUCCCGCUAGGACUGCGGGGGGAUGUCAGUCCGUCGGCUGCUAUUCUCUUCAGUCUGACCGUCCGCGUCGCUCCUGUUGUUCGCAACGCUACCGCUACGACUGCGGGGGGAUGUUAGAGAUAUAUUUGGGUUACAUGUAUUUGGUAGUUUAGGAUUCCUACCUUAUCUCUAGGAGAGGCGUCUUGCCCUCCAAGUCUUGUACUCAAUAUAUACUCGCCCUCGAGGCUCGAUAAUACAUCCAUCAUAUUCCUCAACAAUCCCUCUCUCUCCCUUCUAACAAGGAGCUCCGGUCCAGAGCCUUCUCGGCCAAGUCAGUACGUAGUGUCAAGGAAAGACAGGCGUUGAGCUUUGCCAGAAUGUUUCAGCUGAUUUCCUUUCUUCUUCCGGUGGACAAUUCCCUUGCGGCUGUCUUGUUUCACAACUCCGGUUUUGGACUUGAUUAGUUGUCUUCUUCUUCUCUCUUUUCUUUUGAAAAUGAUUCAAGAUGUGAUUAUUACCCUGUAACUUGUAUCCCUUUGCCUCUCUUAAUAAAAUGAAAAACGACGUCGCUGUCUUCCAUUUACAGCAGCCUCACUUGUUAUGACAACCAGCUAAAACUGUUUGUUCAUCCGUAGACUUUUGUAAUUUCUUAAAAUCCAAUCAUGUUUUUUAUUCAUCUUUUCUUUGCGGGAAACCAUGUUUUUUAUUCUUUCAACUAAAAGAAGUUAUCCACGUUAUGUUUUUUCCUUUGCGGUGCACAUUAGGUUACAUACAAAGAAUUUGUCAACAAAAAAAAGGUUACAUACGAAGAAUUGCUCUAAAAUUAAUCGGAUAGAUUGUAGAAAUUGAUUAAUCCUCAUAUAGAGUAGCGAAAAGGCAGAAAGGGCUAUAAGAUUAUUACCCUUGGUAUUCGUCAUAAUUUUCACCAUAUGAUUAGUUGAUGCGCUCGCUUGCGUGCCGACCACAUAGAAAAACAGAAGCACUAAGAUUGCAGUGACGCGCUUUAUUUAAAUAAACUGUAUGUAUAUAUGCUGCACUUGCUCGGACAGUAACGUUUUGGCUUAUACUACUCCACUGUGAAAAUUCGUGGCAGCUGACACCGUUUGUUGAGUAUAUUAUGUACGUGUAUAUUUGUGUGUAGGUCCCACCUCCUGUUAUCUUUGUAUAGUUGAGUUGUGGCCCACCUCUGUACUUAUAUAUACGUGUCUGAUGCACCGAUCAAUACAUCGAGAUUGCACAGCCCAUAACUUGCCCUUCUACAUGGUAUCUAUCGCAGCACGAUCCUAACCCUAAAGCCGCCGCCGCCGCCGCGCCUCUACGCGCCGCCGCCACCGCCGCUACUCCCGGCCGCCGCCACCUCUCUCCCGGUCGCCGUCGCCGCCGCUGGUCGCCGCCGCCUCUCCCCACCACCUCGCACGCCGCUGCCGCCGCCUCUUCCCGAGGCCGCCGNNNNNNNNNNNNNNNNNNNNNNNNNNNNNNNNNNNNNNNNNNNNNNNNNNNNNNNNNNNNNNNNNNNNNNNNNNNNNNNNNNNNNNNNNNNNNNNNNNNNNNNNNNNNNNNNNNNNNNNNNNNNNNNNNNNNNNNNNNNNNNNNNNNNNNNNNNNNNNNNNNNNNNNNNNNNNNNNNNNNNNNNNNNNNNNNNNNNNNNNNNNNNNNNNNNNNNNNNNNNNNNNNNNNNNNNNNNNNNNNNNNNNNNNNNNNNNNNNNNNNNNNNNNNNNNNNNNNNNNNNNNNNNNNNNNNNNNNNNNNNNNNNNNNNNNNNNNNNNNNNNNNNNNNNNNNGCUUGUCCCGCUUCCGCCCGCGCCCUCCCUCUAGCCGCCACCUCCCCUCCCACCCGCGCGGCACCCGCUCCACCCCACCUGCCGCCUGCGCCGUCGCACCUCCCAGUCGCGCCGCAACCCGCCCCGUAGGUCCCAAACCCUAACCCUCGCCAUGAGCUCCUCCUCGUUCACUGUCUCCAACCCGUUCGCCGGUCCCGAUGUCACCCUCGUCCGCGACCUCAACAUCCACGAGCGUGUUCCGGUCAAGCUUGAUCACACCACCGCGUCCUACUCCGCUUGGAAGCGGUAUUUUUCGCUUGUGUUCCAUGAGUACCUCCUGCACGGCCACGUGGACGGCACCAUGGACUCGGCACUCAUGAUCAACGACGAGGAAUGGAUGAUCCUCGACACCACCAUCAUCCGCUGGUUCUACCUCACCAUCUCCAGCGACCUCUUCCACACCGUGGUGGACGACGAGGACAACGCCUAUGCGGUCUGGACCAAGCUCAACGACCUCUUCACCGACAAUCGGCUGCAGUGCAAGGUCCUGCUCUAUGAUGAGUUUUACGGGUGCCAGCAACUUGACUCAUCCAUCGAUGAUUUUUGCAUGCGCCUCAAGAAGCUCGCCGAUGAGCUCCGCGAUCUUAGGGAAAAGAUCGGCGACGAGCUCCUCAUCAGCACCCUCUCCGGCGGCCUCAACGAGGACUUCGGGAACGCCACCUCCAACCUCACCCUCAUCCCGGAGCCCACCUUCGCCAAGGUGGUCGCGUACCUCAAGUUGGAGGAGUGCCGAAUGCGGGUGGCGCGGUCUCGCGCGACCCACACCGCCCUCGUCGCAGGCACCCGUGGGGGUUCGGCCCCGCCAACGCCGCGCCCGACGCCGUCCCAGCCGGCGGCGACCGCCUUCCCGCCAAGCUUCUCGCCCGCACCGGCCGCCCCCUUCCCGCCGCCCCAGCCGGCGGCCAACAGGGGGGGGGGGGGUUGUCGCGACAUCGUCGUGGCAGCCGCAAGCAGGGGGCGCAGGUGCUCAGGGAGGAGCGCCCCGCCCACCGCAGCAGGCUUCUCAGCCGGCCCCGUGGUACGCCGGCCAGAACCCAUGGACCGGCGUUGUCCACGCCUACUCCAUGCCGGUUCCUCGGGCCCCUGCCCCGGGCAUUCUCGGCACCCGGCCUCAGCCACACCAGGCGUACUACGCCGCACCGCAGCCCUACGCGGCGCCCUACGGUCAGCAGCCGCCGCCAGGUGGGCCGCCGCUGCUGCCCCUGACGGCCGCGCCGCCUCUCCCGUCGGCACCAUGGGACCCGGCCCUCCUGGCGGCUCUCCACAACACUCCUUCCCCGUCCAGCUACACCGGCGGUGGCGACUAGUACAUGGACAGCAGCGCCACCGCUCACAUGGCGGCGUACCCCGGUAACCUCCACACCGCCCAUCCUGUCCACACUUCCAACUGCAUCACCGUCGGUGACGGCUCUUCCCUUCCCAUCACCCAUUUUGGUCAUACAUAUUUUCCGUCUAACUCCACUCAUAUAUCCAUGUCUAAUAUUCUCGUUUCUCCUAAACUUAUUAAAAAUCUUGUUUCUGUUCGUUCUCUUACACGUGAAAAUCCGGUUACCGUUGAAUUUGACGAAUGUGGUUUUUCUGUUAAGGACGCUCGCACGCGGAUGGUGCUCCACCGAUGUGACAACCCCGACGAGCUCUACCCGGUUCACUCCGCCACCUCCACCACUUCCGCCGCCCCUGUCACUCUCGCCACCAGAGUGGAUCUUUGGCAUGCUCGCUUGGGUCAUCCUAAUCCUGCCACCCUUCGCCACAUACUUCAGAGUUUUUCUUUCACGUGUAAUAAGAACGAGGAUCACUCGUGUCAUGCAUGUCGCCUUGGCAAACAUGCUCGUCUUCCGUUUAGGGCUUCUUCUUUUGUUGCAUCGUACCCGUUUGAGUUAAUUCAUAGUGAUGUUUGGACAUCUCCUGUUGCCAGUAAUACGGGCUUUCUUUAUUAUCUUGCCAUACUUGACGAUUUUUCGCAUUAUAUGUGGACCUUCCCGUUGCGCCGCAAGUCGGAUGUCAUAUCCACUCUCGCCGCUUUCUAUUCUUAUGUUCUCACGCAGUUUGGUCGUUCCAUUCUUGCAUUGCAGACAGACAACGGGAAGGAGUUUGACAACCUCGCUGUUCGUAAUCUUCUCACCACACAUGGCAUGAUUUUUCGUCUCACUUGCCCGUACACCUCGCAGUAGAAUGUUCGUGCUGAGCGCAUCCUUCGCACUCUCAAUGACUGCGUUAGGACUCUUCUCUUUCAUGCCAAUGUGCCUCCGCGCUUUUGGCCUGACGCGCUCGCCACCGCUUCUCUCCUCAUCAACAUCCGCCCAUGUCGUACUCGCGGGAACUUUACACCUUAUCAUCUUCUCUUCGGUGCACCCCCCUCUUAUGAUGGGCUUCGCAUCUUCGGCUGCCUAUGCUACCCUAGCAUCGCCGCUAUUGCGCCUCAUAAGCUUGCACCCCGCUCCGUCACCUGCAUCUUUCUCGUCUACCCACCUAACACCAAGGGCUAUCGCUGCUAUGAUCCCGUCUCACAUCGUGUUUUCACCUCCCGACACGUUUACUUUGAUGAGAUGGUGUUUCCGUUUCAGCAGCAGGUACCCCUUGUCGUCUCGUCACCGUUGGCCACUGGCGGCCCUUCGACGACUUCGUCAGGUGGACAGUCCCAUCAGGCUUGUGGACCGCCUCCGGGCUUUGGCGGUCCUCGUGCCCUCACGCCGGCACCCGCCCCCUCGGCCUCCUCGACCGGCUCUGACGGUGCAGCCGGCGCCCUGCCUUCACCCGCCGCCCCGACUCAGGCGCCGCGGGAUCGGGAGCUGCAGGUUCGGCCGCCUCUUCUGCGGCCUCGAUGCCAGCCACCUCGCCGGCCCUGAUGCCGGCCCCCUCGCCGGCUCCGAUGCCGGCUACCUCGCCAGCCCUGACGCCGGCCCCGACGCCGGCCGUCUCGCCGGCUGCCUCGCGGGUGGCUUCGGCGGCGCCGCCCACCCCAGUCACCCGUGCUCGUACCGGCAUUCAUCGUUCGAGCCUUCGAUACUCGAGCGACGAGUACGUCCUUGCCUCCUCUGCCGCGGAGCCGUCGCCCAUUCCCGCAUCCGCUCGCGCCGUCCUCCGUGAUCCUCACUGGCUUGCGGCGAUGCAGGAAGAGUUCGAUGCUCUUCAACGGAACCGCACCUGGACCCUGGUUUCCCGGCCUCCUCGCGCCAACGUCAUCACCGGCAAGUGGGUCUUUCGCCAUAAGACCCACUCGGAUGGUACUCUCGAGCGCUACAAGGCUUGCUGGGUGGUCUGUGGUUUCCGCCAGCGCGCUGGAGUGGACUUCACUGAGACGUUUGCCCCGGUUGUCAAACCGGGCAUGAUCCGCACCGUUCUCCAGCUCGCCGUAUCCCGCGGCUGGCCUGUUCACCAGAUGGAUGUCUCCAACGCCUUUCUCCACGGCCAUCUUGAGGAGCAAGUGUAUUGUGAGCAACCCACCGGUUUUGUCGACGCCUCACUUCCCGGCCAUGUGUGUCUGCUGUCCCGCUCUCUAUAUGGGCUCAAGCAGGCACCCCGCGCCUGGUACCAGCGGAUUGCCGGGUUUCUUCAGACACUGGGCUUCAGCGUUACUCGCUCGAAUGCCUCAUUGUUUGUCUAUCGCCAUGGUGACACGACUGCAUAUUUGCUGCUUUACAUCGAUGACAUCAUCCUAACGGCCUCCUCCGCAUCUGUUCUUCAGUAGAUUACUCUCCGGCUAUGUGACGAGUUUGCUAUCAAGGACCUGGGUGCUCUACAUUAUUUCCUUGGCAUUGAGGUCGUUCGGUGUCCGGACGGUUUCUUCCUUCAUCAGCAGAAGUAUGCGCAUGAGCUUCUUGAGCGUGCUGGCAUGCUCAACUGUCACCCUGUUGCUACUCCUGUUGACACGAAGGCCAAGGUCUCUGCUCUUGAGGGCUCGCCUGCGUCGGAUGCUCCUUUCUACCGGUCUAUUGUCGGCGCUCUUCAGUAUUUGACUCUCACGAGACCGGAUCUUCAGUAUGAUGUUCAGCAGGUGUGUCUCCACAUGCACGCCCCUCGUGACUCUCAUUGGACUCUCGUGAAGCGGAUCCUUCAUUACAUCCGCGGCAUGAUGACACUUGGGUUGACACUUACGGCGUCUACUUCUCUGGAGAUGGUGGCCUACUCCGAUGCAGACUGGGCCGGCUGCCCCGAUACUCGUCGGUCCACCUCUGGCUACUGCGUCUACCUCGGUCCUUCACUCGUCUCGUGGUCGUCUAAGCGACAACCCACGGUUUCGUGCUCCAGCGCGGAGGCUGAGUACCGAGCUGUGGCCAACGCUGUUGCCGAGUGCACCUGGCUACGACAGUUACUUCAGGAGCUGCAUCACGACGUAUCCCAGGCUACGGUUGUCUACUGUGACAACGUUUCUGCGGUGUACCUCUCCGCCAACCUCGUUCAUCAUCGCCGGACUAAACACAUUGAGCUGGACAUUCACUUUGUGCGCGAGCAGGUGGCUCUUGGACGCAUUCGGGUUCUCCAUGUGCCGACUGCCCAACAGUUCGCCGAUGUGAUGACGAAGGGACUGCCGACUUCUACCUUCAAGGAGUUUCGUUUCAGUCUUUGCGUCACUGGCGCCGCUUCGACUGUGGGGGGUGUUGAAUAUAUUGUGUACGUGUAUAUUUGUGUGUAGAGCCCACCUCCUAUUUCCUUUGUAUAGUUGAGGUUGUGGCCCACCUCUGUACUUAUAUAUACGUGCCUGGUGCACCGAUCAAUACAUCGAGAUUGCACAGCCCAUAACUUGCCCUUCUACACUGUCAAAAUCGUGGAACCUUCCAAUUGUGUCGUGGGCUGGCCCCGCUCGAGGGAAGCCUUCUCGCUUGCUUCUAGAACAUCUAGUUCUUGUGUUGGUUUCCUUGUCAGCUCUUUGACUCGGGUGACAUCUCUCGGGUGUCCUCAGUCGUUCCUUCCUCUUCCGACUGGAAAGAACCCAUGCGACCUGCGUCCGCCAGCGUCUUGGACGUCUCUCAGCCAGUUAAAACUUAGAACACAUCAAAGUCAACUGAGGAACCCACUGGUCUGGUACUGGUAGGUACCCUCCCCUGCAAGUGUUGGUGGAUGAACACUUUUUUUGACCUGAAACUGUAGGGCUUAGGCCCCACAGCAAUUUUAUUACUCCCAAACAAAAAUGCAUAUGUGCAGUAAUUACAAGGUCAGGGAGACCUUAAAAGAGAAAAGGCAAGGUGAAAAAGCUAACCUCAAGGAGGCAAAAAAGAGAUCCAUCUAAUCAGAUCAUCUUUGAAUUUAGGUUUAAUCCUAUGAACUAAAAGAGAAACGUCCAAAAUAAAUGAAGCUCUCCACCUACGAAAAGAUGGUUUGAUAUUCCUGAAAACCCUGUCAUUUCUAACAUUCCAGAUAUUCCAGCAAGCUAGAAAAACAACUUCAGAGAAGAAAGGCCUUGCAAAAUCCCUUCUAGCUUGAUAAGCAAUGGCAGUCAUGUCAUCUCCAGCAGGCCAGCUGAUUUAAAGGUAGUUCCAGACCCUGCAACUAAAGUUACACUGGAAGAAAAGAUGAUCCAUGUCCUCCUUGGUGUGUGUGGGACACAACACACACAAAUUUGAGUCAGAAACAUUCCAGUGCCUUCUCUCUAGCAUAUCUUGUGUAUUCAGGCGAUCCAUGAUCAACAUCCAAGCAAAGAACUUGAUCCUCAAGGUGCAACAACUAGCCCAAAUCCAGGACAAUAUUGGGUUUGACACAAUAUGCUUAUGCAAGAAGGUAUAAUAUUUCUUGGCAGAGUAAUCCUUUCCAUCCUCUUUCCAAACCCAAACAUCAUUCAACUGGUGAUUAAGAUUUGAAUUUCCAAGCAAGGAUUGCAAUGACUGCAACUCACCAAAAGCUCUCUCAGAGAGUGGUAAAUGAAAUAAAGGAGUGAGCUCAGACAUCUCAAAAACCUCAGCAGUAGAAAUAAGAGGGUCAAUGACAAAGGAGAAUAGUCUUGCAAAUCUUUGAUCAAGUGGUACACUGGAAUCUCCCAAAGACCAAGAAUCAGACCAAAACAGAACUGUGUCACCCCUAUGAACAUGCACAGCACAGACCAUCCUGAACUUAUCCAUUAAAUUGCAAAUAUCCCUCCACCAGAAGGAACCACAAAUGGUUGUGGCAUGAGGGACUCUACCAUGAUAGUAAGUAUUCCAAAUCAAAUGCACCCAGGGAACAUCAACUUUGUUGUAGAACUUACUAACAUGUUUGAGGAGUAGGGCUUCAUUCUGCAGCCCCAAAUUCAAAAUACCCAGCCCACCUUUAUUCUUUGGUCUGCAGACCAAGCUCCAAGCAGCCAAAGACUGACCAGACUCCUGUCCAUACUUUCUCCAAAGGCACUGCCUCUGAAUUCUCUCCAGUUGCUCUAAAAUACCAGGAGGCAGGUCCAAACUGCAGAGGAAAAAAAUAGGAACAAAAGAGAGAGCAGAGAUCAAGUACUGUAGCCUUCCUCCAUGAGCAAGGAAGGAGGAGCUUACAGAAAGUUUCCUCUCCAUACUAUCCACCAAAGGCAUUAAGUCUAGAAUCUUGGGUUUGUUGAUUCCCACAGGUAGCCCAAGAUAGGUAAAAGGCAGAGAGCCAACCACACAACCAAAAACUGAAGCCAGCCUAGCUAUCUCCACUGGAUCAACAUUAAUAGGAAGCAUAGAAGACUUAUGAUAGUUGACAUGCAACCCAGUGGACUUGGAGAACAGAAGUAACAUCUUCUUCAAAGCAACCAAUUGAGGUUCCUCGGCAGGCAAUAUAAUUAGGGUGUCAUCAGCAUACUGAAUAAUGGGAUAGUCCUUGUCAUGACAGGGAAUGGGAAGCUCCAAAAGUCCCUUAUGAAACAUAUCAUUCACAACUAAUUGCAACAAAUCAGCAGCAAUUGCAAACAGGAGUGGAGAGAGAGGGUCACCCUGCCUAACACCUUUCUUGCAGGUAAAUUGCUUACCAGGUACUCCAUUAAGCAAAACAGAAGAAGUACCAGAAGCAAGGAACUGCUUAACCCAGGAAAUCCAUUUGUCAUUGAAACCUUUGUGUCUCAAAAUCUGAAAUAUAGCCUCAUGCUCAAUUGAAUCAAAAGCUUUCUCAAAGUCUAACUUAAGAAUAACAAUAGGCCUUUUAGACUGGUGGCAUUGAUGCAAGUAUUCAAGUGUCCAAGCCACACAGUCCUGAAUUGUUCUUGACUUGAUAAAACCAUAUUAGUUUUUGUGCAAACAUCUCAUGAUAUCCAACUGAAGCCUGUUUGCAACCAUCUUUGAAAGAAACUUAACCCCCAUACCAGUAAGAGAGAUAGGUCUAAAGUCACUGAUAGAUUCAGGAGACCUCUUCUUUGGUACCAGAGUGAUGUAUGAAUAGUUGAUAUUCUCAAGAUUAGCAGUCCCUUCAUGAAAAGCAGCAACCAAAGCAUAGAAGUCCUUGCUGAUUAUAUGCCAACACUUUUUGAAAAACAAGCCAUUAAAUCCAUCAGGGCCAGGUGACUUAUCAAUAGGCAUGUUCUUAACAGUGUUAUCCAUCUCCUCCUUGGAGAACACUUUAGUCAAGGAAUCCAAACCCUUCACCCUAUCCAAAAUAGAGGAGAGAUCAAAACACAUUUCAAUCCCAUGACUAGUGCCCAUUCUGUUCUUGAAAUUAAGCCAUAGAGCAGCAGCCAUUUGCUCAUGAUCAGACACCACAGAGCCAUCCUCCAGCCUUAAAGAAGCAAUGGAGUUAUGCCUAUAUCUUUCAGAAGCCAAGGCAUGGAAAAAUUUAGUGUUCUCCUCCCCCACUUUAAUGGAUCUAAUAGUACACCUUUUCCUCCAAUAUAGAUACUGUAGGUGUAGGAGAUGCUCCAGAUGCAGCUUAACAAGAUUUCUGAAGUUGAAUUCAUGCCUGAAUAGGGGCCUCAACUCCUCCAAACAAUCCAAAAUGAGAACACUUUGAUAAUGAACUUAACGGUUUUCCCGACUAUUUACAAAACGUGUAGAGAGACGAGUGGGAGGAGCAGCCAAGCCCCGAGGCCGAAUACGGCGGGGACGCCGGCGACGGCGAGGCCUCGGCCAGGAGUGACCCGGAACCAACGGCGACACAGGUGGAGGGGAGUCAAGAUUGACGGGUGAGGGUGGAGGGUCCGGGCUUGCCAGAGAAAAUCUGAUGCCAACGCGAGGAAGAAUUAAGAUGAAAAGAUGAGGUGUGGCAGUCUCCCUUAACUAUUGCAUGAAUGUUCCAACGCCACCUAAUUCGCUGCCUACCUGUGGUAAACGUAUCAGAGGUAUGAAAUGUUAUCAGUUGGACACAUUAUCACCUAAUCCCGAUUAUUUCAGCCGUUGGCGUGAUGACAAAUGAAAUUCGCACUAGAGACAGUAAAAUUCUUGCAGCAAAGAAAGAACGUCCCAUUUCACCAGUAGCAAGUGAAGGUGUGCAAUGCAUCUUCCCCUACUACUAGUACGUACGAAGCUCAAAGCAGCUGGAGCUGAUAAGAAGAAAGAAAAAAAUGAUCGGCUACGGUACGACCACUACGACGACAACGGCGCCGGCGCGGUCCGGCGGGCGCGGCGCGGCAGGCCAGAGCGCGCCCCGGNNNNNNNNNNNNNNNNNNNNNNNNNNNNNNNNNNNNNNNNNNNNNNNNNNNNNNNNNNNNNNNNNNNNNNNNNNNNNNNNNNNNNNNNNNNNNNNNNNNNNNNNNNNNNNNNNNNNNNNNNNNNNNNNNNNNNNNNNNNNNNNNNNNNNNNNNNNNNNNNNNNNNNNNNNNNNNNNNNNNNNNNNNNNNNNNNNNNNNNNNNNNNNNNNNNNNNNNNNNNNNNNNNNNNNNNNNNNNNNNNNNNNNNNNNNNNNNNNNNNNNNNNNNNNNNNNNNNNNNNNNNNNNNNNNNNNNNNNNNNNNNNNNNNNNNNNNNNNNNNNNNNNNNNNNNNNNNNNNNNNNNNNNNNNNNNNNNNNNNNNNNNNNNNNNNNNNNNNNNNNNNNNNNNNNNNNNNNNNNNNNNNNNNNNNNNNNNNNNNNNNNNNNNNNNNNNNNNNNNNNNNNNNNNNNNNNNNNNNNNNNNNNNNNNNNNNNNNNNNNNNNNCCAGCACGCACUCCACGUCCUCGGCCGCCGCCGCGGCGCCGACGUCGCCUCUGCAGGCGCCCGAGGCGGCGGCGGCGAGGGCGACGAUGAGCACCGCCAGGGCGACCACCGCCGCCACCUCGGGAUCGAACGUCAUGGCGGGGCUCAUCUCUUCCAUCUUCCUUCCUUCCUGGCCUGAUCGAUGGAACGAACGGUAGUGCGCGACACCAACCUUGUAGGAUUUCUAAGGACUUCCUAUUUUGGUAGGAUUUUUAGAGUUCCAGAAGUAUUCAAGAGUUACAGAUUGCUACAGACUGUUCUGUUAUUGACAGAUUCUGUUUUUCGUGUGUUGUUUGCUUAUUUUGAUGCAUCUAUGGCUAGUAUGUAGGGGUAUGAACUAUAGAGAAGUUGGAAUACAGUAGGUUUAACACCAAUAUAAACAAAGAAUGAGUUCAUUACAGUACCUUAUGUGGUGGUUUUUCUUUCUUGCACUAACGGAGCUUAUGAGAUUUCCUGUUGAGUUUUGUGUUGUGAAGUUUUCAAGUUUGGGUAAAGAUUUGAUGGACUAUGGAAUAAGGGGUGGCGAGAGCCUAAGCUUGGGUAUGCCCAUGGGACCCCAAGAUAUUCAAGGAUAACCAAAAGCCUAAGCUUGGGGAUGCCCCGGAAGUCAUCCCCUCUUUCGUCUUCAUCUAUCGGUAACUUUACUUGGAGCUAUAUUUUUAUUCGCUACAUGAUAUGUGUUUUGCUUGGAGCGUCUUGUAUGAUAUUACUCUUUGAUUUUUAGUUUACCACAAUCAUCCUUGUUGUACACACCUUUUUGGGAGAAACCCGCUUGAUUGGAAUUUAUUAGAGUACUAUAUGUGCUUCACUUAUAUCUUUUGAGCUAGAUAGUUUUUGCUCUAGUGCUUCACUUAUAUCUUUUAGAGCACAGCGGUGGCUUAAUUUUAAAGAAAUUGUUAAUCUCUCAUGCUUCACUUAUAUUAUUUUGAGAGUCUUUUAGAACAGCAUGGUAUUUGCUAUGGUUAUAAAAUUGGUCCUAGAAUGAUGGGCAUCGAAGUUGGGUAUAAUAAAAAAUAUCAUAGGAAGUGAAUUGGAUGCUAUGAUCAAUUUGAUACUUGAUAAUUCUUUUGAGAUAUGGAGGUGGUGAUAUUAGAGUCAUGAUAGUUGGGUGAUUAUGAAUUUAAAGAAUGCUUGUGUUGAAGUUGGCAAAUCCCGUAGCAUGCACGUAUGGUAAAAGUUAUGUAACAAAUUUGAAACAUGAGGUGUUCUUAGAUUGUGCAUCCUUAUGAGUGGCUGUCGGGGACGAGCGAUGGUCUUUUCCUACCAAUCUAUCCCCCUAGGAGCAUGUGCCUAGUGCUUGGUUUCUUAUGACUUGUAGAUUUUUGCAAUAAGUGUCGUGGUUCUAAGUCUGACAGUAGAAUGGGGGUAGGAAUGGAGAGGCAAGAUCCUAGCUAUGGAGUAGUUGUACACACGAGUGUUUUACGAGUUUAGGCCCUUCUCGGAGGAAGUAAUAGCCCUACGUCUCAGAGCCCGGAGGCGGUUGACUGGUUUUCUGUGUAUAUGUGUUACAGGGGUGCGAACCCUUUACACUGAGGAGGGGGUGGCUUAUAUAGAGUUCGCCAGACCCCUCCGGCCCUCGGUUAUGUAGGGUUUAAAGUACAUUAAGACAGGGGGUUACUGGUAACGCCCUCAUAAAGUGCCAUGAAUAUUAUUAAAGCUACUUAAUGACAGACCGUUGCGUGCUGAGUGACUUUAUGUCUCCUGGUCGUCGAGUGGUUAGCUUCAUGGUCGAGUGGCUAUCUUCAUCGUCGAGUGUCCUUGAGUUCGUCGAGUGAAGUCCCUCUUGGUCGACUGGAAGGUAGCUUCUUCUAAGGAUGUCCUUGGGUAGGGUAUCCUAGAUAGGUCCGUGACCCUACCCUAGGUACAUAUCUUCAUCAUUAGCCCCCGAAUGGAUCGAGGUUCGAGUGAGGAAGGGGUUGAUAAUUUUCUCCGACCCAUUUCCCGUGCUCUGAUUAUGUCGUAUCCUGGAUCAGCGAUUUUUCUUUUACGGUGUUGGCAUUAACUUUUCUUUCAGUCGCCUUGAUCCAUUCUUUUCUUCUGUCGAGUGAACUUUUGAACUUAGUGAACUUCCGAGCAACGGAUCACAGGAAAUCUAUCGUCUGACAGAUUGAUCUGCCGUUAGUGGAUUUUGUGGGAUCCUAAUUUUGGGAAGCGCGCGAAGCGGGGCGGACCGCGGUACUCGGAUGAGAUAAGGCGUGGACGCCUCGAUUUCCACGCCGCCUUUUUUGCCACGUAUCAUGCGUGCGCGACUGUUUCGGGAUGUGACAGGACCGCCCGGGCCUACUUGUCAGCCACUUGGAAGCGUCCUUAUAUAAAGCGUCGGGCGAGGGUUUUUGAACAGUGCCUUCUCAUUCUCCUCUCUGCCCUCUUUGCCCCCGCCCGCUGUGCCUGCUCUCGCCUCCGCCUAUCCACUCCUCGCGUGCUUCGCCGGCGACAAUGGUGAAGAAGAAGACGGCGGCCUUGGAGCGCGCGAAGAAGGCGACGGCGACGGGGAAAGCGAAGGGGAGAGUGUCCAGUUGGGGCGGAUCUUCAUCAAGGUCCCGCCUGCCAAAAGGUUGGGUCCAAGGGGAUUGGAUCCGUUCGACCAUCACCGAGACGGAUCUCAAUGACCUGGCGAACGAGGUCUGAUCCCCCACGGGUCAGCAAGGCUUCCGGGGACCGAGUGUCAACUGCAGCCGCAGGAGGGUGAGUGCAUUCUCCUUGCCACUCAUGUAGACCGUGGAUUCUCUCUGCCGCCGAGUGUUUUCUUUCGAGGGUUUCUGAACUUCUUUGGGGCGCAACUCCACCACUUCACUCCCAAUUCCAUUGCCUAUCUUGCUGCUUUCGUGUCCAUGUGCGAGAACUUCCUGGGUUGUCGACCACACUGGGGUCUCUUUAAGCACAUAUUCACCUAUCGCUCAUAGACGGUGAAAAAGGCGAGUCCGGAUGAUGAGAGGACUAAGGUUAUCCAGAUGUGCGGGGGUCUUGGGAUUCAGAUGAGGAAUAAGAGUACUUUCCCGGCCAUGACCCUUCCUGAGUCGGUCAGAGGGUGGCAGUCGACUUGGUUCUACUACCAAGACGAGUCGACGCCGGGGCAGUCGACUGGUCUCCCUCCGUUCUCCAUGGACCGAGUGGACAAACCCUCUUCUCUGAAGGUACUUCCUGAGGAGAAAGCUCAGGUAAAAAUGUUGAUGGAGCGCGUAGUCCAACUUGUUAGGGACGGAGUGACGGGUAUGGAUCUUCUGGAGGUCUUCCUUAGACGGCGCAUCCAACCGCUUCAGUACCGAGGCCACCCGAUGUAGCUGUACUGUGGUACCGAAGACACCACUCGUGUCCAUCCAGAAGCGGUCAACGACGCCACACUGGGGAGGUGGGUGGCCGCAAUCACAGGGAAUAAGGACAACCCUCGAGGGGCUAGGAGGAUCCCACCACUCGACUGUCCCUAUACACCGGACACGGUAUGACCACUUGUCUCCAAUUGUAUCUUGCUUUAUUCAUUCUGCUUCGCUGCGAAUUGGUCGAUUGAUCUUUGUUUUUGUUUUGUUGUCUGACAGGCCACCGCUGAGUUAUACUCGAUACCCAAUGGAGCGCAAACGCCGACUGAGGAGGAUGAAGGAAGUGGGGGCGAAAGCCCGGAGGAGUGGGAUUCGGAUGCUGACGACGAUGAUGAGGGUGAUGACUCAGGUGAGGAGGAAGAGGAGGAAGAGGAGGAGGAAGUUGUACCUCCUCGCUCGGAAAGACGCUCGAAGCUUGUCCAUGAUCUCGCGGUCGAGCGUGGUAAGGGGGUCACAACCGUCACGCAGUCGUCCAAGCGCCCUCAAACUACUUCUUCGGUGUCGACUGAGAAAGCUCCGAACCAAUCUCGAGUGGCGCCGUCGAAGUCGGCGAAGGUCUUGCCGAAGAUGAAGAUGGUGAUCCCCACUAUCUCAGGGUAAUGGUGUAGCUUGAGUUUGUCUGUUCCACAUGAGCUUAUUCUUGGUCGACUCAUGAGCUAAUCGACUGACUUCUGGAACCGCAGUGCUGCUACUUCUGAUACCUCGGGCAGAGCUGAAGAUCAGGAGAUGGAGGAUGUUGUUACUUCAAAACCUGGUAUGACUCUUGUAAUUCCGUCUUCAGUCGAUUGAUUUCUUGUCUCUGAUUUUGAUUCUUUUUCUGCAGCUUCAUCUAACGUUGUUAUCGACCUUCCCGACGACGAUGAGGAGGAACCACUGAGGCAGAGAAGGAACAAGAAAGCGUCUGCUGGCAAGGCGACUCAGGACGUGCCAGCACCCGAGACAUUGGCCGUGGAGGGAGACAAUGUCACUCGGCCCACCGUAACCUUUGCGGUGCCGUUGACGAGUGCUCGUCCUUCAUCGUCGAGUGCUGCUCAACCCUCGCUUUUCUCAACCUACCACGUCCCAGAAGACCAAGCUAGUGCUGCUAAAGAAGCAAUACGCCAAGCGGGGGUCAUGAUGGAGCAAGUGAAGGCAAUUCGAGAAGCCAGCCAGGCAGGCUAUGACGCCAGUUCAGCUCUUCAGAGUAAUGUUCAGUUCAGUCGGUCACUGCCUGUUCUGUUAGGAUAUGAUAUCUGAAAACUCUUCUUUCUGAAAUUCCUAGAGUUUGUCCUACACCCACUGGGUGUGUCGAUUGAAAUUCCGGGUUAGUGGGGGCACGCUGAGUGCACCCACUGGGUGUAGUCCCCAAGGCUAUGGUGGACUGCUGGCAGUCGACCAUAGUCUUUAUGUCUUAAGUUUUUUCCUCGGGGAUCAAACUAGGUCGAAUAGAUUCAUAGACCGGUGGGGGCACGCUGAGUGCACCCACUGGGUGUAGUCCCCGAGACUGUGGUCGACUGCUGGCAGUCGACUAUAGUCUGAAGAACACCUCCCGUUUUUUUGUUUUUUUUGUUGGUCGACUGGUCGACUCUAACUGAUGAAACUAGUGGGGGCACGCUGAGUGCACCCACUGGGUGUAGUCCCCGAGACUGUGGUCGAAUGUUUGUAUUCGGCCAUAGUCUUAGAAACGCUAUGAUUUUUCUUUAGUCACUCGGAAGUGAAUUGUCUUUGACAUCUGUCGAUUGGUUCUUCAUAGAAAUCCUGCGACCUUGCGGCUCGUUAUACUGAGUUGGAGAACAAACACAUCCAGCUCGAGCUUGAUCUGAAACUGACCCAAGAGAACCUAACGAAGGUGAAGGAGGAAGCUAAAGGUAUGUUUGGUGAGGCCUCCGACGACUGCCUUUGCCUCUCGUUUGUUUCAGAGUCUGAUCUCACUGUAACUUUGCAGAAAAAGUGAGGGAUGCCCUGAAGAAAAAAGACCUUGACUUGGCUGAGAUGCAGAAAGCGGCUUUAAAGAAGACCAAGCUCGCAGAUGAGAAGCUGGCUUCAGUCACCAAGCUUGAAGAAGAAAACACCAAUCUGAAAGCUGCUCUGGAUGCUUCCAACAAGGAGGUCAGUCGACUGAAAAGUGACAAGAUUGCCCUGAACGACAAGGCCAGUGAGUUGCUGGGAAAGAAGAACGAUCUGGAGGCUUAUCUGGGUGGACUCGCCAAGAAGCUAUUCCUCAUGCUUGAAGGUAAUCUUUUGUAUCAAACAGACAUUUUAACUGUGAUCUUCAACUGUUGUCUUGACUCGGUGGUUGUGCUUGCAGAAUUUUGCCAGAACUUUGAAGAGGAGACUGGUCGACUGGAAAUAAACCUGGAUCCCAUCAACUCUCCCGUGAAAGAUGAAGUCGCCAUGAAUGUGCUCCGGCUUGAAUCUCGCAUCGUUGCUGUCGUCGACUAUCUCGCAAGGCUGAAGGUCGCAACUUCUCGCAUCGAUGCAACACUCUGGCCAAGAGAGAUGCUCCAGAACGACCUCGAGUCUCUGGUGACUCGACUGAACGAGGUCCCAAGUCGAGUGCAGGAGUGGAAGAAGUCUUCUGCCAGGUGUGGCGCGGAUGUUGCUCUGUCUCUGGUUCGCGUUCACUGCAAGGAUGCACGAGAGGACAAGCUGGUGGCCCUUAGGGUGGCCAACACCAAGAAGCAUGAUUUCCGAUCUUUCAUGGAGACCUUCGUCGCCGCUGCCACUCGGAUUGCAGAUGGAAUCGACCUGGAUGAGUUUGUUGCACCUUCUAGCCCUCCACAGGAGGGGUAAAAAACUUCUGAGCUUGAUACUUUAAAUUUGCCUCGGUAUGUCGAGUGAGUUUUGUAACCGACAAACCUUAACAGGCUUAGCGCCUGAGCACUUUCUGUUCCGUUAGGUAUUAUCCGAACUUGGAUUCGACGUUGGAUAUGUUUGCAUUUGGUUUGAGGUGUCUUUUGCAGGCUAACGCGGAGUGCUCAUUGCAAUCGACUUGUUCCCCGAUAUACUUAGGCAAGCACUGGGCUGCAGCUAAGCCCCUGAGUGGGAGGUUUGCUCUCCACUCGGUGGGAUUUUCAAAAACUUAGGCGAGCACUGGGCUGCAGCUAAGCCCCCGAGUGGGAGGUUUGCUCUCCACUCGGUGGGAUUUUCAAAAACUUAGGCGAGCACUGGGCUGUAGCUAAGCCCCGAGUGGGAGGUUUGCUCUCCACUCGGUGGGAAUUUCAAAAACUUAGGCGAGCACUGGGCUGCAGCUAAGCCUCCGAGUGGGAGGUUUGCUCUCCACUCGGUAGGAUUUUCAAAAACUUAGGCGAGCACUGGGCUGCAGCUAAGCCUCCGAGUUGGAGGUUUGCUCUCCACUCGGUAGGAUUUUCAAAAACUUAGGCGAGCACUGGGCUGCAGCUAAGCCCCCGAGUGGGAGGUUUGCUCUUCACUCGGUAGGAUUUUCAAGGCGUACCUCUGGAGAAGGAAGUAGCAGUCGACCUGCACCUCGUCUUCCUUGCAGAGCGCACGUUGUAUUUGUGGCGUAGCUCGGAAGGAGAGAGUAGCAGUCGACCUGCACCUCGUCCUCCUUGCAAAGCGCAUGUUGUAUUUGUGGCAUAGCUCGGAAGGAGAGAGUAGCAGUCGACCUGCACCUCGUCCUCCUUGCAGAGUGCAUGUUGUAUUUGUGGCGUAGCUCGGAAGGAGAGGGUAGCAGUCGACAUGCACCUCGUCUCCCUUGCAGAGCUCACGUUGUAUUUGAACUUAGGCGAGCGUGAUGCUGCAGCUAAGCCUCCGAAUGGAAGGCUGGCUUACCACUCGGUAGGAUUUGGUUUAACUUAGGCGAGUACUUGGACUGCAGCUAAGCCUCCGAGUGGAAGGCUGGCUUACCACUCGGUAGGAUUUGGUUUAACUUAGGCGAGUACUUGGACUGCAGCUAAGCCUCCGAGUGGAAGGCUGGCUUACCACUCGGUAGGAUUUUGUUUAACUUAGGCGAGUGCUUGGACUGCAGCUAAGCCUCCGAGUGGAAGGCUGUCUUACCACUCGGUAGGAUUUUGUUUAACUUAGGCGAAAUGGAUUUCGUAGCUAAGCCUUCGAGUGGGAGGCUGGCUCAUCACUCGGUUAGGAUUUUUUUAUAGACUUAGGCGAAUCAGAUUCGCAGCCAAGCCACCCACUGGGGGAUUGCUUUAUGUGGACAAAAGUAAUAACAAUUACUGGGAAAAUUAUAAAGCUCUUGUCUUUGAUAAAUAAACUACAGAAGUACUUUUAUUACAACUCAUCCGAGUGAAUACUCAAGUGUAAAAGGGGCGGAGAAGCUCCGUGUUCCAAGCUCGGGGCUCGUCGAUCUGAUGCUUGACAUUGCAGAGACGGUAUGCUCCAUUGUGGAGAACCUUGGUGACGAUGAAGGGACCUUCCCAAGAAGGAGCAAGCUUGUGUGGUUUCUGCUGAUCCACUCGGAGAACCAAAUCUCCUUCCUGGAAGGCUCGACUCUUCACAUUUUUGGCGUGGAAGCGACGCAAGUCUUGUUGAUAAAUGGUCGAUCGGAUUAGGGACAUCUCCCUUUCUUCCUCUAAAAGUCGACUGCAUCCUGCCGUGCUUGUUCUGCUUCAGCCUCGGUGUAGAGCUCGACCCGAGGAGCAUUGUCGAGAAGGUCACUCGGCAAGACCGCUUCAGCUCCGUAGAACAAGAAGAACGGAGUUCUUCCAGUCGACCGGUUGGGCGUCGUCCUUAACCCCCAAAGUACCGAAGGAAGUUCGUCGACCCAUGCACUAGCCGCAUGCUUGAGGUCACGCAUCAAACGGGGUUUCAACACUUUGAGAAUCAGGCCGUUGGCUCGUUCUGCCUAUCCAUUCGACUGCGGAUGGGCGACUGAAGCAUAGUUGACUCGUGUGCCUUGAGACAUGCAGAAAGCUCUGAAUUCUUCGGAAUCGAAGUUUGACCCAUUGUCAGUGAUGAUGCUGUGCAGGACUCCAUAUCUGAAUAUUAAUUCUCUGAUAAAGCUGACAGCAGUACCGGCAUCGAGGUUCUCGAUGGGUUUGGCCUCGAUCCACUUGGUGAACUUGUCGACUGCUACCAGCACAUGGGUGAAACCGCUUCUGCCUGUUCUCAAAGGGCCGACCAUAUCCAACCCCCAUACUGCAAAGGGCCAAACGAGUGGUAUGGUUUUUAAAGCUGAGGCGGGCUUGUGUGACAUAUUGGAGUAAAAUUGACAUCCCUCGCACUUGUCGACUAUCUCCUUUGCCAUUUCAUUCGCUCUUGGCCAAUAAAAUCCGGCUCGGUAUGCUUUGGUCACAAUGGUCCGGGAAGACGCAUGAUGGCUACAGGUCCCCGAGUGGAUGUCAUCAAGGAUUAUUCGACCUUCGUCUGGCGUUAUGCAUUUCUGACCAACUCCAGUCGUGCUUUCUCUGUAUAGCUGCCCCCUUAUCACAGUAAAGGCUUUAGAUCGGCGGACGAUCUGUCGAGCCUCUUCUUCGUCCUCCGGGAGCUCUUUCCUCAAGAUAUACGCGAUAUACGGUACUGUCCAAUCGGGAGUGACCACCAAAGCUUCCAUGACCAGGUCGACCACCGCUGGAACUUCAACCUCAGUUGGAUCCGUAACACUCUUAGGUUGCGGGCUUCGUCGGUAAAAGGAUCUUCUAUGACUGAUGGAGUAUGGAUAUGCUCCAAGAACACAUCACUGGGGAUGGCUUCUCUCUUGGAUCCUAUCUUCGCCAAAUCAUCAGCCGCUUGAUUUUUCAGUCGGGGUAUAUGGUGGAGCUCUAACCCUUCGAAUUUCUUUUCGAGCUUCCUCACUGCAUUGUAGUAUCCAGUCAUGGCUGGGCUUCUAACGUCCCACUCCUUCAUCACCUGAUUGACCACCAAAUCUGAGUCGCCAUAAACCAUAAGGCGACGAACGCCGAGUGAAAUGGCCAUGCGCAACCCAUACAAAAGUGCUUCAUAUUCUGCUUCAUUGUUGGAGGAAUCAAAGUGGAUCUGGAGCACAUAUCUUAGCUUAUCUCCUCGGGGGGAAACCAAAACUACCCCAGCACCAGAACCAUUUAACAUCUUAGAGCCAUCAAAGAACAUGGUCCAAUGCUCCGAGUGAACUUGAGUCGGCUGCUGUUGUUUGAUCCACUCGGCAAGGAAAUCUGCUAUAGCCUGGGACUUAAUGGAUUUCUUUGCCUCAAAUUUGAUAUCAAGGGGAAGGAGUUCAAUUGCCCAUUUAGCCACUUGACCAGUUGCGUCUCUGUUGUGCAGAAUCUCUGACAAUGGUGCGUCGCUGACGACCGUAAUGUCAUGAUCAGAGAAAUAAUGAGCAACCUUCUUCAUGGUCAUGUAGAUCCCAUAUAUGAGCUUCUGAUAAUGAGGAUAUCUUUGCUUCGAUGGAGUCAAAACUUCAGAGAGAUAAUACACUGGGCGCUGAACUUUGAAGGUUUUACCUUCCUCUUCCCGCUCGACCGUAAGUACUGAACCGACGACCUGUCCUGUGGCUGCAAUGUAAAGCAACAGAGGCUCUUUGCUGAUUGGAGCAGCAAGCACUGGCUGGGUGGAGAGCAGAGCUUUUAGCUCGGCAAACGCUGCAUCAGCUUCUGGAGUCCACUCGAACUUGUCUGCCUUCUUCAUCAGUCAGUAAAGAGGCAACGCCUUUUCACCGAGGCGAGAGAUGAAUCGACAUAACGCGCCCAAGCAUCCAGUAAGCUUCUGGACAUCGUGCACACGCACAGGGCGUUUCAUUCGGAGUAUGGUGCCAACUUUUUCUGGGUUAGCAUCGAUUCCUCGUUCUGAAAAGAGAAAACCGAGUAACUUUUCGCCAGGUACUCCAAAUGUGCACUUUGAUGGAUUGAGCUUGAUAUCAUAUCUCCUGAGAUUGGCAAAUGUUUCGGCUAGGUCAGUCAACAGGUCGGAACCCUUUCGUGACUUAACCACGAUAUCAUCCAUGUACGCUUCCACAUUCCGACUGAUUUGAGUGAGUAAACACUUUUGAAUCCUUCUCAUGAACGUGGCUCCGGCAUUCUUGAGACCGAAUGGCAUGGUGAUAUAGCAGAAGCACGCGAAUGGAGUGAUGAAAGCUAUUUUGAUUUCGUCAGGUCCAUACAGACGGAUCUGAUGAUACCCGGAAUAGGCGUCUAAAAAAGACAAUCUCUCGCAUCCCGCAGUCGAGUCGACAAUUUGGUCGAUGCGAGGGAGAGGAAAAUGAUCUUUUGGGCAGGCCCGAUUGAUAUGUUUGAAAUCAAUGCACAUGCGGAGUGAGUUGUCCUUCUUGGGGACCAUGACGACAUUGGUGAGCCACUCGGAGUGGUAUAUCUCUCGGAUAAACUCUGCUGCAAGGAGUCGAGCCACCUCCUCGCCAAUGGCUUUUUUCUUCUGAACGGUGGACUGUCGAAGAUGUUCUUUAACAGGUUUUGCUUUUGAGUCGACUCUAAGGCCAUGCUCAGCCAGCCCCCUGGGAACACCCGGCAUGUCAGCAGGCUUCCAUGCAAAGAUGUCCCAGUUCUCACGGAGGAACUGAAUGAGCGCUUCUUCCUAUUUAGAGUCGAGUGUUGUGGAAAUAUGGGUCGGAGCUGCAUUGGGGUCAGUCGGGUGGAUAUGAACUGGCUUCGUCUCUCCUGAUGACUGGAACGCUGACUCUGUGGCGGGCUUCUUGGCCCGCAGCAAAUCACUCGGAUCUGCAUUUUUCUUGUAUUCUUCUAGCUCUACCACUGUUAUCUGGGCAUCCGCAAUCUUCGAGCCUUUCUGGAAACACUCUUAUGCUUUCUUCCGGCUGCCAGUGAUAGUGAUCACGCCUUUGGGGCCGGGCAUAUUUAAUUUGAGGUACACAUAACAUGGUCGAGCCAUGAAGCGGGCAUAGGCUGGUCUUGCCAAAAUAGUGUGGUAAGCGCUCUGGAAAUCCACGACUUCAAAUGUCAGCUUCUCUUUGCGGAAAUGCUUCGAGUCGCCGAACACUACCUCCAGAGCUAUUUGACUGAGUGCUCAGCCUUCUUUCCAGGAAUGACUCCGUGAAAACUCAUGUUGCUGGAGCUGAGCCUGGACAUCGGAAUGCCCAUUCCCUUGAGCGUCUCUGCAUACAGUAUAUUCAACCCACUGCCGCCAUCCAUCAAUACCUUCGUCAGUCGAGUGCCUUCGACGACUGGGUCGACCACCAGCGCUUGCCUCCCAGGGGUGGAAAUGUGAGUGGGGUGAUCGGAUUGGUCGAACGUAAUGGGAGUUUGCGACCAUUUCAGAUAGCUUGGUGUCGCCGGGGCGACCAUAUUUACCUCUCGGUUGAUCACUUUCAGUCGACUUUUGCUCUCUACAUCAGCAAAAAUCAUCAGGGUGGAAUUGACAUGAGGGUACCCUCCAUCACUGUCCUCCUUGUCCUCGGCCUUGUCCGACUCCUUCUCUUUGUCCUUGGGUUGUUUUCCUUGAAACUGCUGGAUUAAGAGUCGGCACUGGCGAGUGGUGUGUUUCGUGUAAAUGAAGUUACCCUCUUCGUCUUUCUUCGUGUGGAUGUGACAUGGUAGAUCCAUCACGUCAUUUCCUUCUUUAUCCUUUACCUUCUUGGGGUUCCAAGAUCCUUUGGGCUUCCCUUUGAAUUUGCCCUGAGUCACGGCCAGAGCCUCUCCAGGAGCAGCUGGCUCGGCCUUCCGCUUCUGCUUCCGAAUGGAGUUUCCUUUUUCCGAUUGACUCGGCUUAUAUUUGCCACUCCGGAGCCUGUCCUCUUCUUCACCGUUAGCGUAUUUGGUGGCAAUCUCCAUCAUUCGACUCAGGGUCAUAUCUCCGGUUCGACCAAACUUCAGGCUCAACUCUUUGUUCUUGACACCAUCCUUGAAGGCGCACACCGCUUGAUGGUCCGACACAUUCUCCACGGUAUGAUGCAAAGUGAUCCAUCUCUGGAUGUAAUCUCUCAAUGUUUCAAUCGACUUUUGUACGCGGACUUGCAGCUCCGUCAAUCCGGCCGGUCGCUUGCAAGUUCCCUCGAACGUCCUGACGAACACUCGGGAAAGAUCUUCCCAGGUGUAAAUGCUGCUAGGAGCUAACUGAUUCAACCACGCCCUGGCCGAACCCUCUAGCAUGAGUGCCAAAUGCUUCAUGGCCACCUCAUCAUUACCACCACCAAUAUGUACAGCCACUCGGUAGUAUUCAAGCCAAGUUUCAGGCUUGGACUCUCCGAUGAACUUACUUACCCCAGUCGCCAACCUGAAGUUGGGGGGUAUCACUGCGGCUCUGAUGGCUCUGCUAAGGCAUUCUGGACCUGAAACAUGGACUCGGCUGCUGGUGGGCACAUCUCUGUCAUGGCCACCUCUAUGAGCUCUGUUCCGAUCGACCAGAUCCUGCACGAUGAUGGAUGUCGCGUCAAAGCCUGGUUCUCUGGGGUUGACCAGAGCUCUCUGCCCAACACUAAGCUGGCGCCUGUCAUCUUGCUGCCAAUGGGCGUUAGACCCACUUCUCGGGGGAGGAGUGGGCACUCGACGUCUAUCAUCACGAUCAAAUCGGUCAUCAUAGUGGUCCCGCCGGCCUUCACGUCCCACGUGCCUCGGAGGUGACCUUGGGCUGUGAGCCGACUGAACAGUAUUCGCAGCGACGGAUCGAUUGUGAAUCAUGUUGCGCGACUGUGACACAACUGAAUUCUGAUCUCCUGCCGCCCGGAGCAAAUCCCUGAUCUGCAUCAAGCCUCUUCCAGCCUCCGACUGGGAGGGAUGAAUUGACUCCGCUAUACGGGCUACAGCUGCCAAAUUCUGAAUCGGGGUUCGAUAUACCUGAGUCGGUUGCGGAAAGAGCUGACGUCGGCUGGAGUCAGGUACUCGUUGACGCGCACGCUCGUCGAGUGCUCGCUGGAGGUUCUCCAGUUGAGUUCAUUCAGCCAAGUUGGCCAAACGCGCCUCUUCCAAAGCAUGAGCCUCAGGAGUUUCUCCUGCGAUGGGAGUAUGCAGGGUAUCCAUGUUCCGGCGGCGAAGAUCUUCUCUUUGCUGAGAAGUGAGUGGCUCGGGCUGAUAUUCUUCGUGGGCCCGAGCGGGAUCACCUCCAUCGUCCAUCCCGUCGGCGCGGGGGAAACCGGGAGGGCUACGAGGCCCGUUGACCAUCAGGACCUCCGCCGCUGGAUCACUGCUAUCGCACUCGGAUGCAGUCUCUACGGAGCCAGUCGACAGAUCAAACAGGCUAUAGAGAGAUUCGUCGGGCUCAAUUGUCGUGACUUGGGUGGUGGCCGAUUGGCGAGCCACUGCAUGUCUCACCCACCGCUGAAGCCUCGACCGACCAGAGCGCUUGCGCUGGCGGGAGACAGGGAGGGAGGAUGACACAGGACUCGACUGGUAUGGGGUCGACGGCUGCCGCAGCAGGACGCCGCGGACACACGCCCGAGAGUGUGUCGCCCCGCGGACGGGGAGCGCGUCGAUGUCGAGUGGUGCCUCCUGGAGCCAAGCGGAGUCGUCGGCGAUGAAAGCGAGCGCACCGAGACGGAUCUCGCGGCCCUCGACCAGAGCUCCGCCAGAAACCAUGAUGAAGGCAAUCAGACAAAUUGCAACUUCUCCAAAAAGUCGCUAAGACACCUGCCCCACGGUGGGCGCCAACUGUCGUGGUUCUAAGUCUGACAGUAGAAUGGGGGGUAGGAAUGGAGAGGCAAGAUCCUAGCUAUGGAGUAGUUGUACACACGAGUGUUUUACAAGUUCAGGCCCUUCUCAGAGGAAGUAAUAGCCCUACGUCUCAGAGCCCAGAGGCGGUCGACUAGUUUUUUGUGUAUAUGAGUUACAGGGGUGCGAACCCUUUACACUGAGGAGGGGGUUGGCUUAUAUAGAGUUCGCCAGACCCCUCCGGCCCUCAGUUAUGUAGGGUUUAAAGUACAUUAAGACAGGGGGUUAUUGGUAAUGCCCUCAUAAAGUGCCAUGAAGAUUAUUAAAGCUACUUAAUGACAGACCGUUGCAUGCUGAGUGACUUUAGGUCUCCUGGUCGUCGAGUGGUUAGCUUCAUGGUCGAGUGGCUAUCUUCAUCAUCGAGUGUCCUUGAGUUUGUCGAGUGAAGUCCCUCUUGGUCGACUGGAAGGUAGCUUCUUCUAAGGAUGUCCUUGGGUAGGGUAUCCUAGAUAGGUCCAUGACCCUACCCUAGGUACAUGUCUUCAUCAAUAAGUAUAUGAGUUCUUUUGACUAAUGUUGAGUCCAUGGAUUACACGCACUCUCACCCUUCCAUCAUUACUAGCCUCUUCGGUACCGUGCAUUGCCCUUUCUCACCUUGAGAGUUGGUGCAAACUUCGUCGGUGCAUCCAAACCCCGUGAUACGAUAUGCUCUAUCACACAUAAACCUCCUUAUAUCUUCCUCAAAACAGCCACCAUACCUACCUAUUAUGGCAUUUCCGUAGCCAUUCCGAGAUAUACUUCCAUGCAACUUUCCACCAUUCCGUUCAUCAUGACACGCAUCAUCAUUGUCAUAUUGCCUUGCAUGAUCAUGUAGUUGACAUCAUAUUUGUGGCAAAGCCACCAUGCAUAAUUUUUCAUACAUGUCACUCUUGAUUCAUUGCCCAUCCCGGUACACCGCCGGAGGCAUUCAUAUAGAGUCAUAUCUUGUUCUAGUAUUGAGUUGUAAAUAAAUAGAAGUGUGAUGAUCAUCAUUAUUAGAGCACUGUCCCCAAAAAAAGAAAGGCAAAAAAAAGAAAGGACAAAUUAAAAAAAAGCCCCCCCCAAAAAGGGGGCAAUGUUACUAUCCUUUUCCACACUUGUGCUUCAAACUAGCACCAUGUUCUUCAUAUAGAAGGUCUUUCAUGUUGUCACUUUCAUAUACUAGUGGGAAUUUUUCAUUAUAGAACUUGGCUUGUAUAUUCCUACGAUGGGCUUCCUCAAAAUGCACUAGGUCUUCGUGAGCAAGCAAGUUGGAUGCACACCCACUAGUUUCUUUUGUUGAGCUUUCAUAUAUUUAUAGCUCUAAUGCAUCCGUUGCAUGGCAAUCCCUACUCGUCAUGUUGACAUCAAUUGAUGGGCAUCUCCAUAGCCCGUUGAUUAUCCUCGUCAGUGUGAGACUUUCUUUUUUUUUGUCUUCUCCACACAACCUCCAUCAUCAUAUUCUAUUCCACCCAUAGUGUUAUAUCCAUGGCUCACGCUCAUGUAUUGCGUGAAAGUUGAAAUUUUUUUGAGAUUAUUUAAGUACGAAACAAUUGCUUGGCUUGUCAUCGGGGGUGUGCAAGAUGGGAGCAUUUUUGUGUGAUGAAAAUGAAGCAUGACCAAACUAUAUGAUUUUGUAGGGAUGAACUUUCUUUAGCCAUGUUAUUUUGAGAAGACAUGAUUGCUUUGAUUAGUAUGCUUGAAGUAUUACUAUUUCUUAUGUCAAUAUGAACUUUUAUUUUGAAUCAUUUGGAUCUGAACAUUCAUGCCACAAUAAAGAAAAUUACAUUGAGAAUUAUGCUAGGUAGCAUUCCACAUCAAAAAAUCUGUUUUUGUCAUUUACCUACUCGAGGACGAGCAAGAAUUAAGCUUGGGGAUGUUUGAUACAUCUCCAACGUAUCUAUAAUUUUUGAUUGUUCCAUGCUAUUAUAUUACCCAUAUUGGAUGUUUAUGGGCUUUACUUUACACUUCUAUAUCAUUUUUGGGACGACCCUACUAACCGGAGGCCCAGCCCGAAUUGCUGUUUUUUUGCCUAUUUCAGUGUUUCGAAGAAAAGGAAUAUCAAACGGAGUCCAAACGGAAUGAAACCUUCAGGAGCGAUCUUUUUGGAACAAACGUGAUCCAGAGGACUUAUAGUGGAAGUCAAGAAACAAAGGAGGAGGCCACGAGGGUGCCCGGCAUGCCCCCUACAGGUGGGUGCGCCCCCCACCCUCGUGGGCCCCUCGAGCGUCCACCGACCUACUUCUUCCUCCUAUAUAUACCCAUGUACCCCGAAAACAUCAGAAGCGACCACGAAAAACUAUUUCCACCACCGUAACCUUCUGUAUCCGCGAGAUCCCAUCUUGGAGCCGUCGGCGGCGCUCCGCCGGAGGGGGAAUCCACCAUGGAGGGCCUCUACAUCAUCUCCGAGGCAUGUCCUAUGAGUUGUGAGUAGUUUACCAUAGACCUUCGGGUCCAUAGUUAUUAGCUAGAUGGCUUCUUCUCUCUCUUUGAAUCUCAAUACAAAGUUCUCAUUGAUCUUCUUGGAGAUCUAUUCGAUGUAACUCUUUUUGUGGUGUGUUUGUUGAGAUCCGAUGAAUUGUGGGUUUAUGAUCAAGUUUAUCUAUGAGAAAUAUUUGAAAAUCUCCUCUGAAUUCUUUUAUGUGUGAUUAAGUUAUCUUUGCAAGUCUCUUCGAAUUAUCAGUUUGGUUUGGCCUACUAGAUUGAUCUUUCUUGCAAUGGGAGAAGUGCUUAGCUUUGGGUUCAAUCUUGCGGUGUCCUUUCCCAGUGACAGAAGGGGCAGCAAGGCACGUAUUGUAUUGUUGCCAUCGAGGAUAAAAAGAUUGGGUUUAUAUCAUAUUACAUGAGUUUAUCCCUCUACAUCAUGUCAUCUUUCUUAAUGCAUUACUCUAUUCUUUAUGAACUUACUCCAGAUGCAUGCUGGAUAGCGGUCGAUGUGUGGAGUAAUAGUAGUAGAUGCAGGCAGGAGUCGGUCUACUUGUCAUGGACGUGAUGCCUAUAUACAUGAUCAUGCCUAGAUAAUCUCAUAAUUAUUCGCUUUUCUAUCAAUUGCUCGACAGUAAUUUGUUCACCCACCAUAAUAAUUAUGCUAUCUUGAGAGAAGCCACUAUUGAAACCUAUGGCCCCCAGGUCUAUCUCUUAUCAUAUAAGCUUUCAAUCUACUUUUAUUUGCAUCUUUACUUUUCCAAUCUAUAUUAUAAAAUACCAAAAAUAUAUUUAUCUUAUCAUAUUAUCUCUAUCAGAUCUCACUUUCGCAAGUGGUUGUGAAGGGAUUGACAACCCCUUUAUUGCGUUGGUUGCGAGUUCUUGUUUGUUUGUGUAGGUGCGUGGGACUUUUGAGAAGCCUCCUACUGGAUUGAUACCUUGGUUCUCAAAAACUGAGGGAAAUACUUACGUUACUAUUGCUGCAUCACCCUUUCCUCUUCAAGGAAAACCAACGCAAGCUAAAGACGUAGCAGUGUGUUGAGGAACUCAGCGUCCCUUGGGUGGUCCUAAGAAUGAAAUACAAGUGUCGUUAGUUGCGAUUAGGAGUAGGCAAUGGUGGACAGUAUGAAAAGGAAGAGGGUUGUGAGCUAACCGCAACAUGGCCGGCAUAGUGCUCUACCUCCAGAACUAUGGAGCAAGUGUUCUCAUCACAUGAGGCGCCGCUAAGGUCUCUUAGCUUGGACACUUGGAUCCAUCAACCUCUCCAUUUCCUCAGGUGGUUGUACACCUGGGUGGCAGACACCUUUUGCCCACAGAACUCGAACACCUGCGUCGCAACGUUGUUCAAGUGCACCUUCUUGAAGCCCUUGUCAGUCCUAACUCCACUAGAGAUGAGCUCACACAUCUUAUUCAGCACAAAUGUGGACAUGAACGGCUGCCACUUCAUGUUGUUCGACCUACCAUCCUUCUUUGCCUUUGCUGCUGCUACCUUGAGUGCAACGGCAGCAACAGCAGUAGCAGGAGUUAGCUCAACGAGCACUACUGGCACAUAGAGGGAAUCAGACGCGAACACCUCUGAAUCAUGUGCCAUCUCGGACAUAGUCUACGAGUCCUCGACAAACGAUGGAGCAAACUGGCUGUCAGACAGGACAAGGGCCUGACUAAGAUCUUGCGUCUACGUGGUCAUGUCCUACAAUCGUAGCAUGCAUUGACAGUAAGCAUAGCACACAACAUACCGGAGAAUCCAUGAAAGCAGCAGCAUACAUGUACAUGGUUCAUGGCUAUCAUACUAAGCAUACCCGACAACCUAUGAGCACGAACAUACAUCUACAACAAACAGCAUGCUACAAAUGGACCACCAAUAGGUACAAAUCAUAGAUCUAAGCACGAAUCAACACAAGCACAAGGUUCAACUUCGAACUCUACUACUAAUCUAGCCUACCACAUGCUUGAACAUCUAGCCCUACCAUAAAUUGCAACCGCAGCAUAGCAAUCAACCAUAUCAGCUCACAGAUUAUACCACUAAUCAACCAUGCAUCUAGAUCAAAUCCUAGCUGCAGUUCAGAUCUAGCUAGAAGGAACAAAGAGAAAGGGGGAUUGAACUCACAGAGGCCAUGGCUGCAGCUCGAGGACGAGGGGGGACGGUCGUGGAAGAUCAACGCCGGUCGGUGAAGGAGUGCCGACGCCGUGGACCGUCGGCCGAUGAAGAUCCGCCGCUUACCUGCUCGUCGGUGCCGAUGCAUGUCGGAGGGAAAGCUCGAACGAAGGGAGAAUGGUGGCGGGAGUUGGGGUGGUGAGGAAGGGGGCUAAAUAGGGGUGGACUCGGCGGGAGGUGAGCCGAAAUCCUCCCGCCGAUUUUUCGGUGACGCGGGUGAGCUCACGCCAUCUCCCUGCUUGCACGAGGGAAAAAGCGCGUCGCCCUCCCCUGCCUCGCCCGAGCCAGGCUCGCGAGCUACUGUCGAUUCGGGCGUUUCCCCUAGGCCUGGCCUGGACGUGCUUUAAGUUCCGUGCGAUGUGGGCCGCACAGUGAAUGCAGGUUACCAAACGGACUCAAUCUUUCCUGCACGGGCCAGGCUGGGCCAUAUGCAGGCAACCAAACACGCCCAAUGUGGUCUCGCCAGCCCAUCCGUGGUAUACCAUCUCCAACGUCAUCAUGUAGUUUUGUGGUGCCGUUGCACGAGUGGAGACAAUGUGGCCAUCCAGCUCGUCAACCAUGAUGAUGGUAAGUUUUGCUUCUUGUUGCUCUAUAUGUUUGUAAAUUCAUUCAUUCACUCAAUGUUUUAACUUGAUAAUAAUCAUGUUGUGUAGCUCGGACGUGUUGCCGUAUUGUACUAUAGGACAGAGAGCAAACCAUUUACAUUCAUACAUGUUGGAUGAAGCUCAAGGACAAGGGUGCGUGAAAUGAAGUGUGCCGAUUCUGGCUCAAGUAUCAUUGAAUUUGGAAUCGAUGAAGGGUGGGCUCGAUUGAAACCAUACGAGAUGGCUCAUGAUUUCAUAUUUAACAUUUUUUAUGAUAAAAAGGGCGUCGGUCUGAUUUUCAAUAGCAAUAACCAUAAAGUUCUUAUAAAACUACUGAAAAUGAAAAUCAAAACUUAUGACAAGGCACCUACAAUAUCAGACUAUAAAAGACCUCACCAGAUCUAAGGAGCUCUAGACCAUCGACAAGAGGUAGUCCAGGAAGAUAACAACAAACGUUGGAGACGUUGUUGUCUAAUACUCCCUUCGUCACAUUUAAAUGUUGCUCAAACAGAUGUAUAGCAUCUACCCUCUCAACAGCAGCAGAAAACAAAAGGGUAUGAAUAUAGUUUUUCCAAAUCAACAUACACACAAAAGUGAUAACAUUAUCAGCAAGCUUCUCUCCACCGGUCUCCCACCUAGAAUGUUCCUUGAUCUCCCAUCAAUCUUCAAUCGAUCCAGAGAAUGCCAAAACGCAAACCUUGUACCGCUCUAAACUCAUUGUUUGUUGUUUGUUGGUGCACUUUACCACCCACCUAAUCUUUCUGAUCUUUCUGUUUUUUCUGCAAAAUGUUCCAAUCACUCAGCCAUCUAUCUAUUAUAUUAAGGGCAUGUACAAUAGGGGCAGUUGGUAGGUGCUUCCCGGCGCAUUCACAUAGACAAAAAAGUAUGAGGCAUUCAGUUGAAUAAUUUCUUUCGCAAUGCAGUGCGUUGAGACCAUCAACUUUGGGACCCACGUAGUGAGCUGAAGCUUGGCAAGAGGUAACAUGCAUAGGAAUGCGCGCUCACCGUCGCCAGCAUGCCCCUCUUUCUCUCAUCACUUUUGGUCGUUGGACCACAACCUCUCUCCCCAAAUACCCACCUCUUGCAGAAGAAUCAUCUGUCUUUGUGAGGCAACCACUUUUGUUUCACGCUUGGCAUCCGAGCCUAGCUGACAUGCGGGGUAGCACCCUUGGGGCAUACUGUUGACCAUGCCCUAAUAGAGACACAAAGGUUAGUAACUUUAACAUUGUCAAAAAUGAUGCCCUCCUAUUCAAAUUAAUUGACGCGGUUUCAGUACGACUUUACUAGUAUAAAAUACUAAAGCUACAUCAAUUAAUUCAGAUCAAAGGGAGUACUCUACUGUUUCUUAAUUUCCAGAUGGUCUAGAAGACCACGGCAACAGGUGUGAAUACCGGAUGUUUCUCACCAGAUUUGAAUUUGGAGGAAGGACUAGGUGCAGAUUUUUUUCGAGUUUCAAGCUAGGAACACUGUGGCAGGAACGUGUCAAAGUCAACGCAAAGACUCUGCCCACACUGCUCAGCUUAGAUGCUGAUUGAUAACGUGUUCAAAAAAAAAAUGAUGCUGAUUGAUGAUAGCUGUGUUUUCUACCAGUUAUUAGUGAUGGCAGUCGACGUGCUGGUCUUUGCUUACCCAAGAAAAACUCAAUGUCGCCUCGCUCUUGCUAUCAACUUUUUUUUCUUUCUUUCUAUAUCAACUAAAAUUGCUUGUGAUUUACUCCGUAUAUUGUAAUGGCAUCCGUCUGAUCGCCUGUGUGUGAGAUGGUAUUCUGGUCUCUUGUCCGGCGCCCAUUUUCAUCACGCAUUGCGACAGAAUUUUCUUGGUAACUGGCGUGACAAUACAAUAUUUCCUUUGGAAGCAACGGAAAGUAAAUAAUUUGCAUUCACCAUUUCCAACUGCAAGCGCCCAAUGCUGCAGCAUCCUCUGCACUCCGCAAGAGCACGAAUCCUAACAAGCAGCCGUCGAAAAAGGAGACACGCUAAGCUAAAGACGUCAUCCGCGGCGGCAUCGGCGGGCACUCCGACCGCGGCAGCCCCGGCAGCGGCGGCGGCCCGAGCCCUCCGCGGCAGAGCGGGCACGUCCGGCGCUUCCGGAGCCAGCGGUCGACGUCGCAGCUCGCGUGGUAGAAGUGCCCGCAGGCCGGCACCACCCGCACCAGCUCGCCGGCCUCGCCCUCGCCGUACUCCGACAGGCAAAUGGCGCACCGCUCCUCCUCUCCCUCCCCCUUCUCCUUCUCCUUCUUCCUGGCGGCCGCCUGCUCGUACGUCAUGAGCGUGUCGUCGCCGAGGGCGGCCUCGACGUCGGCGUCGUGCACCGCGGCGCUCCCGGUGGCGCCGGCCGCGUCGUCGCAGGCUCCACCGGUGGCCAUGACGGCCACGGCGACGAUGAUGACCGCCAUCACGACCACCGCGGCGAUCUGGAGGUGGAGCACGAGUUCCGGGUCCAUGCUCAGUGCUCCUUGGCCAAUGCCAAUGCCAAUGCCAGCGAACUACCGCUCCAGUCCAGCCUCCAGCCUUUGUAUAGGAGCUCUCCGGUCCAGAGCCUUCUCGGCCAAGUCAGGACGUAGUGUGAAAGAAAGGCGGAGGUUGAGCUUUCCCAGAAUGUUUCAGCUGAUUUCCGCCUUUCUUCUUCCACUGGACAAUUCCCUUGUGGCUGUCUUGUUUCACUUCACUACUCCGGUUUUGGACUUAAUUCAAUUGUCUUCUUCUCUUCUCUCUCUUUUUAUCCCUUUUGAAAAUGAAUCAAUAUGUGAUUACGCGUAACUUGUAUCCCUUUGCCACCCUUAAUAUAAAAUGAAAACGACGUCGCUUUCUUCCAUUUACAACAGCCUCACUGGUUAUGAAAACUAAAGCUGUUUGCUCACCAAUUGACUUCUGUAUUUUCUUAAAAUCCAAUCCUGUUUUUUAUUCCUUUUUUUUUUUGCGGGAGAUCAUGUUUCUAAUUCUUCUUUCAACUAAAAGAAGUUAUCCACAUCAUGUUUUUUCUUCUGCGGUGCGCAUUAGGUUACCUACAAAGAAUUUGUCAAAAAAAAAGGUUACAAACAAAGAAUUGCUCUAAAAUUAAUCAGAUAGAUCAUACUAGAAAUUUAUCCAAUUGAUUAAUCCUAAUGGAGUAUCGAAAAGACAGGAAGGGCUAUAGUAAGAUUAUUAUCCCUGGUAUUCGUCAUAAUUUUUACCAUAUGAUUAGUUGAUGCGCUCGCUCGCGUGCCGACCACAUAGAAAAACAGAAGCACUAAGAUUGCAGUAACGCGCUUUGUUUAAAUAUAUAAAUCGUAUGUAUUUAUACUGCACUUGCUCGGACAGUAACGUUUUAGAUUCUACACCGCUGUGAAAAUUCGCGGCAGCUGACACUGGCAAAAUCGUGGAACCAUCCAAUUGUGUCGUAGGCCGGCCCCGCUCCAGGAAAACCUUCACGCUCGCUUCUAGAACAUCUAGUUCUUGUGUUGCUUUCCUUGUGAGCUCUUUGACUCGGGUGACAUCUCUCGGUGUCCUCAGUCGUUCCUUCCUCUUCCGACUGGAAAGAACCCAUGCGACCUGCGUCCGCCCGCGUCUUGGACGGCUCUCAGGCUCUCGGAUAGCUAGAACACGUCAAAGUCAACUGAUGAACCCACUGGUCUGGUACGGUGGUACCCUCCCCUGUAAGCGUUGGUAGACUGAUGGCGAUGUUAUGAACAUUUUGAUAAUCAACUUGACGGUUUUGCUGACUGUUUACAAAACGCGUAGAGAGACGAGUGGGAGGAGCAGCCAAGCCCCGAGGCCGAAGACGGCGGGGACGCCGGCGACGGUGAGGCCUCGGACAGGAGUGACCCGGAACUUACAAUGACACGGCGGCGGGCGACACAGGUGGAGGCCUGGAGGGAAGUCGAGGUUGGCGGGUUCGGGUGGAGGGUGCGGACUCGCCGGAGAAGAAGAUGAGCAUGUCAGACGUGAGCAGGAGGAAGGGAUGGCGGCCGUUAGAUUUCAGUAAUUCAACCGACCGAUGUAAAUAGCUUUUCCAGGCAAGUGUGGCAUGGGUGCUUCUCACCCAAUUCGCCAUCGGCUGUUGUUUCUCAUUUGCCUACCUGUGUUAAACGUAUCAGAAAUAUGAAAGGCCAUCACUUGGACACGUCAUCACCUAAUCCCUAUUAGUUAAGCCGUUGGCGUGAUGCACCGUAACGAAUGAAAUUCGCACCGGAACCAGUAAAAUUCUUGGAGCAAAGAGAGAACGUCCCAUUUCACCAGUAGCAAGCUGACGUAAAUGAAGGUGGAGUACAAUGCAUCUGUCUCUACUAAGACUACUACGAAGCUCGAAGCAGCUGGAGCUGAUCGGCGAAAAAAAUGAUCGACUAUGCUACUACUACGACGACGGCGGCGGCGGCGGCGCGGGUCGGCGGGCGCGGCCAGAGCGCGCCCCGGCAGAGCGGGCAGGUCCGGCGCGCCCGGAUCCACCGGUCGGCGUCGCACGCGGCGUGGAAGAAGUGCCCGCACGCCGGCACCACGCGCACCACCUCCUCGGGCGCCUUGGCGUACUCCGACUGGCAGAACGCGCAGCAGCGCUGCCGCGCCCUCGCCGCCUCGCCCACCUGCGCGUACGCCACCAGCGUCGCGUCGCCCAGCGCGCGCUCCACGUCCUCGGCCGCCGCCGCGGCGCCGGCGUCGUCCCUGCAGGCGCCCGAGGCGGCGGCGGCGAGGGCGACGAUGAGCACCGCCAGGGCGACCACCGCCGCCACCUCGAGAUCGAACGCCAUGGCGGGGCUCAUCUCUUCCGUCUUCCUUCCUUCCUGGCCUGAUCGAUGGAACGAACGGCAGUGCGCGACACCAACCUUGUAUGCGCAGUGCGUGUGCUCUUCCGAGCUUCCCUUCUUCCUUGGCCUGACCUCUUUUUGUAGUAUCUUCCGUGUUUCAGCUAACCAGAUUAACGAACGGGCCUUCUUUUCUCGGUGGCCUUCUUUUCCGUGUCUCCCCUCCCCUCUCACUCGGCUCGCGGUCUGCUUUCUGUACGAGCUGGCGGUUACCACGAAUAAAAGUUUUUUUUUCACGGAAAAUUACCAAUCUAUUCAUUUUUAAUCAUGACAGUACAACGAACACCAGUAAUAAUAAAAGCUACAUCCAGACCCGUAGACCGCCUAAUGACAAACUUGGUUAUGUUAGAAUCUUCAGAUUUGUGCGAGUGUUGUUUUCCUUUUUCUUUUUCACGUAUGGUUGGUAUCGAGACACUAUUUUAAAGGAAAUAAAGAUUAAAAGUUCAUGCCUACAAACGUUGGCAUCAAAAUCUAAUGUCCCACUCCAAUCAAAAGAGAAAGAUCUAAUGUACUACUUUAGAGUUUGAAUCAUUAGAUUUUUUCUGUCUAGUGAUUUGAUCGAGACACAGUAAAAUCGCAGCCACUGCGAUUUAAGGUCUAAGCCAUGACCUAAGGCCAACCAGCAUGACACAACUGCAAAAAACAACACAAUAAAAGGGGGUUUAAGAUCAACAUGCAAAUGCCAGCACGGGCACAUAAUCCUGAUAACUUUUGUCAAUGUUUGUCACUGAAAAUUUCUAGAAUUUUCUUAAUUUGUUUUCAAUAUUUUUUUCGAUUUUAUGGCUCACCCGAGAUCAUUUGAGCUCGAGACUAGAAGAGUACUUCGUCGAUUUCCUUUCUUCUUCCGGUGGACAAUUCCCUUGCGGUUGUCUUGUUGCUACUCCGGUUUUGCACUUAAUUGUCUUCAUCUUUUUCUUCUCUCUUUGCUUUGCUCUACGGUAGAGUUGGACUUAAUCAGGAUGUGAUUACCAUGUAACUUGUAUCCCUUUGCCUCUCUAAAUAAAAUAAAAUGGAAAAUGUCUUCCAUUUACAACAGCCUCACUGGCUAUGACAACUACACUGUUUGUUCAUCGGUCGAUUUUUUGUAAAAAACGAUAUUUUCUUAUUCUCUCGAUAGAAAAAUGGCUAUCCACAUUAUUUUCGGGGAAAACCUUCUCGCUUCUAAAACAUUAGUUCGGAGUCGUUCCUCUUCCCACUGGAAGGAGAGCGUAGCCUAAGUUAAGUUAGAACACGUCAAAGUCCACGCGAGGACUACUAUGGUACUCCUGUGCACGUGUUGGUCGAUUGAUGUUAUUAUUUGAACAUUAACUUACGGUUUCGCUAAUACAAUACUCAGCCAACCCAAACUAAUCUUUGCGUCAACCGAUCUCCAGAACGCGUAGAGAGACGAGGGGAAGGAGCAUCGAAGCCCCGAGACCAAAAACGGCCAUGUACGAGGAAGACGGCGAGGCCUCGGACGGAAGCGAGCCCGUAACCGGCGACGACGCGGCAACGGACGACGACGCAGAUGUUAAACGCAUCAGAUGUAUGAUGAAAUGUUAUCAACUGGACACGCUAUCACCACCUAACGCCGAUUACUUAAUUAGUAUUACGCCGUUGGCGUGAUGCGCCGGACGCCAGCCCACCAAAGUUAGUUCUUGGACAAAGAAAUGGUGUGCCGUUUCACCAGUAGCAAGCUGACGUACGUGCCCAAGUAAGUGACGGCGUACAAUGCGAGAAUAGAAUUUUGGAAUUCGGGUGUAUUUGAGGACCUUAUUUUAAAUACUUUGAAAAUCACAUUUAAGGUUUCAAAAAAUUCUGAAAACAAUUCUACUUGAUCAUAUGGAUUUAUAGUACACAUGUGUAAAGUUUGGUGAUGAAAUAAGUAAAUAUGCGACCUAUACAAAAAUGACAAAAAUGGUUAUUUCCAAAUAGUGAAUAAUGCAUGCACUGUUCACCUUUCCAAAAUCAUGAUUUUGUCAUUUUUGUGUAACUCACAUGGUUACUUAUUUCAGCAUCAAAAUUUACACAUGUGUAAUAUACAUUCAUAUAAACAUAUUGAUUUGUUUUUAGAAUUUUUUGAAACUUUAAAAUAGCAUUUUGGCACAGUUCCAAAAAUAGGGCUCCAAUGCAUCGGGGUUCCAAUGUGACUUUUUGCGUACAAUGCAUCUUUCUCUACUACUACGAUGCAGCUGAAGCUGAUAGGGGGAAAUAAUGAUCGACUAUGGUGGUACUACUACGGCGGCGGCGGCCAGAGGGCGCCCCGGCAGAGCGGGCACAUCCGGCGCGUCCGGAUCCACCGGUCGGCGUCGCACGCGGCGUGGGAGAAGUGCCCGCAAGCCGGCACGCGCACCAGCUCUUCCGGCGCCUUGGCGUACUCCGGCAGGCAGAACGCGCCCUCGCCCGCCUCCGCGUACGCGUACGCCACCAGCGUCGCGUCGCCGAGCGCGCGCUCCGCGUCGUCAACCGCCGCUCCAGCGUCGUCGUCGGAGGCGAGGGCGAUGAUGAGCACCGCCACGGCGAUCACCACGGCCACCUCGAGAUCGAGGGCCUGAUCGAUCGGACUGCAGGGCGCGACAGUAACCUUCUAUGCGCAGUGCACGUCCUCUUCCCUUUGAUUGGUGUGGCCUCCUUUUGUAGUAUCUUCAUUGCUCCAGGUUAACCAAAUUAACAGGGCAUCUGCCUUCUUUCCCGUGUCUCACAUCACUCGGCUCGCGCUCUGGUCGGCAAAUUUCCUUCUUGCAGUGGCCAAGUCGGUUACAGCAUCUCCAAUAGAUGGUUCAAAUUUUAACGGUCCAAAACCGAAGAUUUAAAAUAUGGUCCGUCAAAUAUGUGCUUUAGAGCUUCCGAAAUGCUCAACUCCAACAGAUGGUUUAAAUCAGAGAUGUAAAAGAGCAACUCCAACAAAUGGUCCAAAACGAAGAUGUAAAAUUGCCUUGAUCGUCUUCUUCAAUCUCGGGAUGUAGGCCACCUUCAUCAAAUCCGUCGCCAUCAAGCUCUCCCCGAGCGCGCCAUCCUUCCCGUGAUGAGCUCCUCUCCCAAUUCCUCUAUUUUUUUUUCCUUCGAUCGGUGUCGUUUGUCACCGCUCCUGAGCACGUAGGCGGCGACGGCAGCGAUAAUUUGGGGAAUGGCAGCGGCGGAUUGCAGCUGACUGGUGCAGUUGGGCGCUUGCGGGCGGUCACCGAAUUUGGACCAGUUCUCAGUAAUGCAAAUUUGCACCACGAUGACCGGAUGGUCCAAAAUUUAGGUAUUUUUACAUUUGAACCGUCUAUUGAAGAUGCUCUUAUACUUGUGCGUCCCCUUCUGCUUUUCCCUUUGGAGCCAUUAUACUGGCACUUUUGCGACCUUAUUUUUUGUGAAGGAUAAAGUUUGUGCCUGCCUUUUGCGACAAUCAAAAACUGUCUUGUGCGAAACAAGAAACGACUUAAGAUCGCAGCCACAGUAAAACCAUAUACGGAGUACUCAUGUCAACCUACGACCAACCAGCAUGAAACAGCCGCAAAAACAACAUUAGAAAAGGGUGCAAGACGAACGGAUUAAGAUUAAGAUCCAAAUGCCAGCACGGCACAUAAUCCAGAUAACACAAUCUAUAACUCCAGCAGGACAAACAGAACUCAAUGGAACAGGUCAUUGUGCAGAGUGCCGGACUUCAACAAAAACGCACGUUGCAAGACUACACUGGGGUGGACAAAGAGCUCUUCACUCGUCGUCAUCCUCAUCGUCAUCGGCGGCACCCGCAGAGUUGUUGAGGGCGUUGAGCCUUUCGACGAGGCUGGCCUUCCUCUGCUCAUAGGUCAGCUUCUUGGGGUUGUAUCUGCAUCCAAAAGGCAAAGUUCACAAUGCAGCUCACAACAAGUUGGAAAAGAAGCAGCAGUCAGGAGUAAAUGGCCCUUGUCCACAAUGCAUCCAAAAGACAGUAUGAUGAAGAGCUUGCCGACUAUACCUCUUGUGAGUCUUGGGAGGCGCCUUGGUUGAUUUGGCCAUGGUGGGAUCAGCACGGAUGGCAGCAUGAACCUUCUUGUAAACUGCUUCCAUGUCAUCAGCUGAGAUUCCCCUCUUGAUGUACUCACUGAAGUGAGUUUGGAACUUCUCUGGUUCCUCAUCUGCUAGUGACUGGAAUAAGAGAAAGGCAAAAGUUCAGUAAGAAAUGAAAGAGGAACUAGGGUCAUUUUAUUGCCCUAGGUACAAGAGCAUGAACAAGAGUAAUACAAAAUCAAGAGAGCAAUGGCUUCCAACUCACCCUCAUGUAGUCAGCAACAUGCCCUCCAAAGAUGUACUUGCGGUGAAUCUCAGCAUCCAGCGACUUCUCAUCCUUUUUGAAACCAGCAAAUCUCUUGUCACUGUGGGGAAUGUCAAGACCACCGUCCAAAGCUCCCUGCAGGAGCAAAAAUAAUUACACCAGCAGCAGAAAAAGCACUAGAGGGAUACAACCCAUGCAUUCAAAAACAAAAUAAGUUCUGAAGUGCAGCAGAAUAGGGAGCACCAUAUCACUUAAUGCAAAUAAAAAAAUGAGAACAAACAGCAAUAACAAUGAUUUUUCACAAGGUCAAAUAGCACAAUAAAGCAGAACAGUUUCAUGUCAAAGGCCUGUGACAAGUUACAGGUAGCUAAAGAAGAACGACCAAUCAUGAUUUGCCAAUAGUUUCAUGUCAAACCUUUCAAGAAAAAAUAGUUUCAUGUCAAAGGCCUGUGACAUUGAGUGCCUAUCUGCAAUCAUAAAAUGUACAGUAAUAACAUGGCUUACCUUAAGGGCACCAAACACACGGUUUCCAGUGGUGGUCCUAAUAAGACCAACAUCCAAAAGCGCACGGAAAGGCCUCCUCUCAUCAGAAGGCUCAACAGAGAAGUCCUCGCCAGUGGCCUGAGCACAGACAUAUAUUAUUUGUGUUCAUCAGAAGCAACAAAUCAGGAUAUUAAACUAAAAAAAAUGAUGAAACCAAAUUAUACCUCAACAUUGCCUUCAUACUCCUCAUCAAGAUCACGGUUCUUGAGCACACGACGGGCCAAAAGCAGACCAGUGCAGUAGGCUACAUCAUGCAUUCAGAAAAUUAGAUUAGAAAAGAGGCAUGCAUACACAGCAUGCAUUAGCACAUUCAUUCAGUAGAUAAAAUCAACCUGCAGCAUAGUUGGUGAGGCCAACUUCAAGACCAUAGCGAGGCAACUCAUGGGAGUAAGCAGCGGCCAUCACGAUAUCACCAGCAAUGGUAGCAUACACAAUUUGUGCAGUGACAUCCUUGUUGGUCUGAAGUACUAUUGUUAAGAGAUACAACAUGCCUCCAAGGUAAUAAUAAGCAGAACAUUGAUGAUUGACAAGUGCACAAAUUAUAACGAAGAAACUUUGAAGGAUACAAAUCGCACAACAAAACGGUACUUGGGGGUAUUGUAUUUGUUCUUGUCCUGGUUUGUGAGCCUCAGCCUGGCCCUGUAGUCGGUCUUCCCCUCUGAGAAAACAUGGGGAAAAGGAAAAUCAGCCAGUCAGAAUCGCUGUCAAAUGACAGAAGUGGCAGAUUCAUGGAGAGGCAUGUGUUAGACAUACGGCGCCUUCUCUUGAACUUGACUUGGAAACGCUUGGAGUACGCCCUUGUCUUCUGGUUCUUGAUGUACACCUACAAGACGUAUCAAAGAGAAGCACAUGAGUAUACACCUAGGUUUGGAACAUCAGUGCUACCCUGGAAAUCCUAGUAAUCAAUCAGGCGGCACAAACAAAACAUUUAAGACAAGAUUUUAAGUAGCUCAUAGUUCUAUUCAAUGACGAGAAACCUCAUGGAACCUCCCAAGCUUAGGAUAAUCAAGGAAGUAAUUCCUAUAUAAACCCCAGUCUACUAUCGCGAC